rnacentral:lncRNA from 1 species
AAAUGCGUUCAUUAUUCCACAAUGCUCACUUGCUCCUAGUGCCAUUAUUCCACAGUUCCUCCCACCAGUUACUUCAAUGGGCUUCGAACACCCAGUUGUGCAAGCCUACAGGCUACAACAAGCGCUUGCGGCGAGCGUCUUACAACAACCAAUUGCCCAAUUACAACAACAAUCCUUGGCACAUCUAACAAUACAAACCAUCGCAACGCAACAGCAACAACAGUUCCUACCAACACUGAGCCACCUAGCCAUGGUGAACCCUGCCGCCUACUUGCAACAACAACUGCUUGCAUCCAACCCAAUUGCUCUGGCAAAUGUAGUUGCAAACCAGCAACAACAACAACUGCAAUAGUUUCUGCCAGUGCUCAGUCAACUAGCCAUGGUGAACCCUGCCGCCUACCUACAACAGCAACAACUGCUUUCAUCUAGCCCGCUCGCUAUGGCCAAUGCACCUACAUACCUGCAACAACAAUUGUUGCAACAUAUUGUACCAGCUCUGACUCAGCUAGCUAUGGCAAACCCUGCUGUCUACUUGCAACAGCUGCUUCCAUUCAACCAACUGACUGUGUCGAACUCUGCUACGUACCUACAACAUCGACAACACUUACUUAAUCCAUUGGCAGUGGCUAACCCAUUGGUCGUUGCCUUCCAACAGCAGCAACAAUUGCUGCCAUACAACCAGUUCUCUUUGAUGAACCAUGUCUUGUCGAGGCAGCAACCCAUCGUUGGAGGUGCCAUCUUUUAGAUUACAUAUGAGAUGUACUCGAUAAUGGUGCCCUCAUACCGGCAUGUGUUUCCUAGAAGUAAUCAAUAUAUUGAUUGAGAUUUAUCUCGAUAUAUUUCUGAACUAUGUCCAUCAUAUAAAUAAUUGAAAACAUCAAAUCGUAAUUAUAAACUCAUGCUUGGUCAAUACAUAGACAAUGCGAUAUUACUUCAACAUCCCAAUGAUGUCCUAGCCCAACCUCUUGAAUGUUACUGUUUUAACGCGUGAGGGUAUAUUUAUAAGAUAGACGUGACUAUUUGCGCUUUUUUUUAGUACAUACAUAUAUGGUAUGUUGAUUUGAUAUAGUGAUGGACACAUGCUUUGACCAUGAAUAUUUAAAUCAGUUGUACUUGCAUGAAGCAAAACAUAAUAUAAGUUUAGGAGUACACUUAUAACUGUGUCCAAUCAUGCUCACACAAAUUCAUACCACAUUAUAAUUUUUUGGUAAAUAUUCCACACAUGUAUUUUUUACAAGAACCCAAAUAUUGCAGACAAAUGCAGCAUUGUAGACAUGUAGAAUUAUUCGAAGCACGUGAACUUAACAACACCAAGGUCAUUAAGUCAACUGGACCCUAUGAGUAACAAUUUCGAUAUUGCAAACACCAAAUUAUAGAACUUAUUGGCUGAAAAUUUAUGAGCAAUGUGAACUUUAAAUUAUUAUACCAUAAAUAUAUCAAAUAAUUUUUUUUUGAGGAACGUAAAAAUUGCAUGGAAUGGGCUGCCCAACGUGCUAGCUCACUUCUAUGCUAGUUAGCAUUACCAAAGAUGGGAAUGUUGCUGAUGAACGCCAAACCCACUCAAAUAAUAUUUAUAGUUGGGUUGUUUAGUUGUAAAAGUGAAGACCCAAGAUAAAAGUACCAAUUGUCCAAUGACAUUCGAUUAUUUUGUUCGGGGAGCACUUGGUGCGUCAUUUGGACUCGUAUCUUAGUCCAAUAGAUUGCAUUUUCCUUCAAUGUGUAGAAUCCGACAAAGUGCAUGUUCUAAAAUUGUAAAUCUAACUAAAUUAGAAAGCUUGUUACUAAUUUGAUGGUUUAUUAGGUGUAGCUCAUAAAACUAGAACCAACAUAGCCUGCACUCACAUGUCAUAGAAAAUAGGACUAUCCAAGCACAAUUUGUGUGAGCAUCCAUGACACAAAUUAUAUAUAGUCUGAUAUAAUUAAUUCCUUCAAAAUAAAAAAGGAAAAAAUAAAGUGGUUUUUGAUACUGCAGGAUAUCUCCUUUAGCUAAUGAGGAGUACUAAAAAGUUGUUGCACUUUUGGGUGGCGAGAAUUCCUCAAUCAUAACUUUGACAUAAUUUUAAUCCAGAUCACAUAUAUAGCAUCAUAUCUUAAUUAUUAAAUUAUUAUGGUUCCAUCAUCGUAUUAUUAAUUCAAUAUGAUAUAACCAUCAAAUCUUAAUUAUUAAAUUAAUCUGGAGCGUACAUUAGAUUAUCAAACCAAAUCAACCCGACAUAACCAUCGAAUGUUCCGCUAUGCACCUUAAGCACAUGGUCUGGGGCUUAAUCAUCCGGAAUAACCAUCCGAUCUUCUAGUAAGCAUAGUAAGCGUAUGGUUCACGACUUCGUUAUCCGGAAUAACCAUCAGAUUUUCCAGUAUGCACUGAAAGCAAAUGAUCCGGGGUUUUGGUAGGUGAAACAUUGUUAGGUGAAUGCGGAUGCUGGCUGCUGUUGCACGUGUGAACUGCUGUGUGGAAGCUGCUGGGUCCUCCUCUAUUGUGUGUGGUUUGUGGCGGGCUUCGAAUGCUCUCAUGGCUUCGGUGCUUGGAACUGCUCGUACGUCCGGUCCUGCGUGCAUCUCUCUCUCCUGGCUGGAGGCGUGGUGGUGUGGCGGCUUGUCUGUGUUUUUCUUUUUACGGCGGCUUCUCGUGUUGGCUAGUGUUGGCGUCAGGGGCCCGGUCAGCUAUGCUCCCUCAGUUUUAUAGGCAGUGCACCACAGCAGGCAGAGCAGAGAUAAAGAUUCCAACUGCAUCCAUCUACAAACAAGGCUCUCGGCAGAAGGGAUAAAAGCAUGGAGCGCAAUUGUCGCUGCCCUGCUGCAGCCUUGACUCUCGUCAAUUGGAUGACCAAAAGAUGCCACCGUCUAAGCUCUUUUCUAUGUGCAGCUGCCUGUUUGUCACCAACACAAAAUAGUAGGUGCCUGUUUGACACCAAUUAUCCUCUACCACAAAGAACUACAAUAGUGAUGGAGGAUCCGAUCCGGCACAGAUCCACUAUAAUGCAUAUUGGGUGAUGCAUGCCUAAUGGUGGUUGUUUAGUGUUAGUUUGGGCAUGUUGGAACUAAGCAAUUGACGAUGCCAUACACUAGAAGUGAAGAAUGUUGUUAGCGUUAGGAGUUGAGGUGUCAAUGGGGACCAAUACCCGUUAAGCCAUGGAGAAUUUCUCUAUUAGAUUUAGGGUAUGGGAAAAAUUUUAUUUCCAUUUGCUGAUGUUAGGUAUACAUCUAUUUGAAUCAACAGUUACAGUUCAACAGAAACUCCUUCCGCUCUAGUUUGUUUCAUGUCCUAACUUUUUCCUAAACUAGUUUUUCCUAAAUUGACAUACUCUCUACAAAAUCUAUCCAAAUUUUGAAGAUCAAAUCUGUUCCAUUGAAUUAUUCAUGACAUAUAUCUUGGUAUUGCUUUUUGUCAUCAGAAUAUAUUUCGAACUCAGUAAAAGUUAUACACGAUUUUUUAGACAAUACUAAAGCAAGUUGUAAUCAAGAACACUUGAGGUGUGCGCCAAUUGCCACAUUUAGAUAUAAUCAUUCUAAUUUUGGUCAUCCUAUGUGUGUGCAUUCAUCUAUGCAUUCUAGGAUUUCAAUUAGUCUCAAUCUUGUAGUAUUUUUUCCUUCAUUGUCAAAUCACUUCUCAUCUAACUACUAUGCUUGUUUAACCAUUAGAACAUAAGUACAACAAUAUCCAUUUAGAAAGUUUUUGAUAGCAAACUUUACAUAUUCAUAUCAUGUUAAGGUUGUCACAUGUGUAAAGGUGAAGCGAUCAUGCAUGUCAUUCCACAUAGAUUAAAAAAAAUCCUAUAUAAAAAUGACAAUUUUUCUUGUAGGUAGUGGAAAGUAUCUUUCCAGCAAAGACUAUAUAUAUAAUCCGAUAAAGCCGAUAACUAAAUGUCAAAAUCGAGUAGAUGCCAUAUCAUCUAUACCUUAUCUGUUGUUUGGAAAAAAGACAAAAUCCAAAAAAAUAUAUAUGAGAUCUCACUUGUAUAAAUAGCUCCCAAAUCAGUAGUUAAUCCAUCACCUAUAAUAUUUUGAGCAUUCAGAAACACACCUAGGGAAGCGCACUAGCAACGACCUAACAACAAUGGCUACCAAGAUAUUAUCCCUCCUUGCGCUUCUUGCCCUUUUUGUGAGCGCAACAAAUGUGUUCAUUAUUCCACAAUGCUCACUUGCUCCUAGUGCCAUUAUUCCAAAGUUCCUCCCACCAGUUACUUCAAUGGGCUUCGAACACCCAGCUGUGCAAGCCUACAGGCUACAACAAGCGCUUGCGGCGAGCGUCUUACAACAACCAAUUGCCCAAUUACAACAACAAUCCUUGGCACAUCUAACAAUACAAACCAUCGCAACGCAACAGCAACAACAGUUCCUACCAGCACUGAGCCACCUAGCCAUGGUGAACCCUGCCGCCUACUUGCAACAACAACUGCUUGCAUCCAACGCACUUGCUCUGGCAAACGUAGUUGCAAACCAGCAACAACAAUAGCUGCAACUAUUUCUGCCAGCGCUCAGUCAACUAGCCAUGGUGAACCCUGCCGCCUACCUACAACAGCAACAACUGCUUUCAUCUAGCCCGCUUGCUGUGGCCAAUGCACCUACAUACCUACAACAACAAUUGUUGCAACAUAUUGUACCAGCUCUGACUCAGCUAGUUGUGGCAAACCCUGCUGCCUACUUGCAACAGCUGCUUCCAUUCAACCAACUGACUGUGUCGAACUCUGCUGCGUACCUACAACAGCGACAACAGUUACUUAAUCCACUUGCAGUGGCUAACCCAUUGGUCGCUGCCUUCCUACAUGUCACACCCGGUUUUAAAAAGGCAAACCGAAUGCGAACCAUGUACGUGCCAGGAUCAGUUAUUCACGUACACAGCAGUUACAUAAUAUGGACAUCAUCACACAGUGCUCAAAAUAGUAUUAAUAAGGGAAAUAGUAGAUUACAUCAUACGUCUGAGACGUCCAUAUAGUUCUUACAAUAAAUCAAAGUGCGGAAAAGAAACGUAGAUAACGCGGCCUUCACAGGCAGCCGACUGGGGGUUGCCGCUAACCCACACCUAGAACUCGUCGUAAUCUUGGAACUCCUGGAAGUCUCCUUCCACAGCUUCAUCUUCGCCUGAGCAGUGGUUGCAAUGCUGACAACCUGGGGGGGGGGGGGUUUGGUGUGUAGAGCAAGGGUGAGUACACAUCAACAUACUCAGCAAGUAUCCUGUUUGGCUGUAGUGGACUAGCUUUAUGUGGGGAUAAGUCAAGCAGUUGCUUUUAGUUGGUCAGGUUAUUACUUACUAGUAGAAAGCCAAGUUUUAGCAUUAACCCAAGUUAUUAACCCAAUGUAUCCUUUCCAAACGGAAAGAAUACCACUUACCAGCACCAUAACCAUAACCAGAACCAUCAAUCUCAUAACCACCUGUACCACAAUGUCUCUGAUCAAGUACCACUAAUCAUUGGAGCUCCCUUGGCCGCUCAUAACCGCGAGCACGGCUGAUAUAUCAGUUUCAUAACACUCUGCAGAGGUUGUGCACUUUACCCACAAGCCGUGAUUCCCAUUCUGCCCGGAGAUCAUGACUCUCCAUUGAUCACUACCAAGGUGAUCCAGCAGGGCAUCACUACGAAGCCUUUACAAAGAUUCCCCGGGACUGCAGCCACCCGUUAGGUUUCCUAAAUGCACCGCACUCCUCCCCAAGGGGCGAACCCAAACUUGGCAGAGCGAGCCGCAUACACCGAGCCCCAUUGACGGCACGACGGCUAAGUGAACUACACCCCGGAUCCUCUAAUUAUUCAGCUAAGGGCACCCCAUUCCACCCUCAUGGUUGCACUGUUUUCCCGGGCGGUCAUCCAUAGAACAGGUCCUUACGGAGAGGCACUCGAGAAACCGCUCGAGUCCCCUUGAAAACCACAAGUAUAAUCAUAAAGAAGAACGGGAAAACAGCGUAUCAUAGAUAAUCACAUCAUGUUCAUUGAUUAGAGUUGAGCAAUAGCAUCAGACUAAGUAGUAAUAAUCCGACCCAAAUAGGUAAACAAGGACAUGGAUAACAAAAGCUAGUCAAUCCUUAGGUAUAAAUGUGUAAUGCGGGAGGUGAAUUAAAGAAUGAAUAGGACAUAGAUAGGUCAAAGGACACUUGCCUCCACCAAACGACUGCUGCUCAGGGGCUUCUCCUGCGAAUUCCUCGGGCUCUUCGACUGGAUCGUUCUCUAUGCGAGCGCAAACAUACAUACAUACAUCCACAUAUUUAAUACAAAAGAACAGUACACCAUACAAGAUAACAAAUAAAGCGAAUAUGCAUCAAGUAUGACAUUCGAUAACGCAUUUGUUAUGGUCAGAAAGAAACGGGAAAGGUCUCGCAGGGGGGGUUAAAUCUUAUGCACUAACGAUCAAUUACAAUUGGUUUUUAACAAAAUAAUUCUGCUACAUAUACACUAAUGGAAACCUAAUCACUUUUAGUUGAUCAACAUUGCACAGGGUAAACAAUUAACUACGUGCGUCAAUAGCAUAACGGAAUUUUAAAUUAAACUUCCUAUUUUCCCAUAGCAUGAACAGUGAUUAGCCUACUUAAAAUACAGUAAUUAUGAUCACAGAAAGUAAAUAAAAUAAAAUAAAAAAAAAUAAAAAAAAAAACAGAGGGGGGGGCGGUUGAACCGGCCCUAGGGCGGUUGAACCGGCCCUAGGCGGGGCGCGGGCGCGGGCGGCGCAGGGGGCGGCCGAACCGGGGGGCGGGGGGCGGCGCAGGGGGCGGCCGAGCCGGGGGGCGGGGCGGCCGAACCGGCGGGGCAGGGGGGCGGGUAGGGGGCGGCCGAGCCGGGGGGCGGGGCGGCCGAACCGGCGGGCAGGGAGGCGGCCGAACCGGCCAUGGGGAGAGGGGAUGGGGGAGGGAGGAGAGGGGGAGGGGGAAGCUCACCGGCGACGGGGACGGGGCGGCCGAGCGGGGCGGCCGAACGGCGACGGGGAGGGGCGGCGGCCUAGGCAGGGGCGGCGGCUAGGGCAGGGGGCGGGUAGGGGGCGGCGGCUUGGGUGGGGAGGGAGAAAAUGAGGGGGGAGAGGGAGAGGGUUAGGGGAUAAGGGAAAGAGGGGGGGGGCGGCUGGGCCUACUAGGCCCAAGAGGGGGGCGCCAGGGGGCGGCUGGGCCGGCCGGGGUCGGCCCACGGCGCGGGAGAGAGAGAAAAAAAAGGAGAGAGAAAGAGAGAGAGAAAAGAGAAAGAAAAGAGAAAGAAAACAUUUUCGAAAUCCGAUCUUUCUACAUGAAUGCAUUUGCACUUUCAAAGCAAUCAAAAGAAAUGCAAGGUUCGGCAUGGUGCAUCAAACAACAUAAAGUAUUUAGGGUUUUUAUACAUACGGGAAUUCCAAACCGAAUCCCGCUAGAACUUUGGAAAAGGUCAAGGUUUAGCGAGGGAAAAAGAAAAAGAAAAGGUAACGCCCGAAUUUUGGCGAGUAAAGAAAAGAAAAAAAAUUCAACUGCAAAAAUUCGGGGCGUUACAAACCUAUCCCCCUUAAAAGAAUCUCGCCCUCGAGAUUCAGGGCUGGCUAGCAAAGAGCUCCGGGUACUUGGCCUUCAGAUCAUCUUCACGCUCCCAGGUUGCUUCUUCCUCAGAGUGGUGACUCCAUCUGACUUUGCACAUUCUGACGGUCUUCCUUCGGGUGACUCUGUCUGCAAUCUCAAGGAUCUGAGCUGGCUUCUCAACGUAGGUCAAGUCCUCCUGGACUUCCAGACCUUCCACUGGCAACUGCUCUUCCGGCACACGCAAGCACUUCUUCAACUGAGACACAUGAAAGACAUCAUGCACAGCAGACAAAUUCUCUGGCAGACUGAGCUGAUAGGCCACUUCUCCACGUCUUGCAAGAAUCUGAUACGGACCAAUGUAGCGGGGUGCUAGCUUGCCUUUCACUCCGAAUCUUCUGACUCCUCUGAUCGGUGACACUUUCAGAUAGACAAAGUCUCCGACUUCGAAACUCAGCUCUCUUCUUCUUGUGUCUGCAUAGCUUCGCUGCCUUGAUUGCGCUAUCUUCAGAUUCUCUCGGACCAUCUUGACGUUCUCUUCGGCUUCGAGCAAAAUGUCUGGCCCAAACACUUGCUUUUCCCCAGGCUGAUCCCAUUGCAACGGAGUUCUGCAACUCCUUCCAUACAGCGCUUGAAAUGGUGACAUCUUCAAACUGGCCUGGUAACUGUUGUUAUAGGAAAACUCCGCAUAAGGCAAUCGCUUGUCCCAUCCGGACUGAUCUUGCAACGCACAUGCUCUCAACAUAUCUUCAAGAAUUUGAUUGGUUCUUUCGGUCUGGCCAUCUGUCUGCGGGUGGUAAGCUGAACUGAAAUUCAGAUGCGUGCCCAAGGCUUCAUGCAACUGCUGCCAGAAAUGAGAGGUGAACUGCGUUCCUCUGUCUGACACUAUCUUCUUUGGCACACCAUGAAGACAAACGAUCCGAGACAUAUACAAUUCUGCCAAUACUGCACUGUUGUAGUUGGUCUUGACAGGUAUGAAGUGGGCUGACUUGGUCAAGCGGUCCACUACUACCCAAAUGGAAUCGUAGCCGGCUCGAGUGCGAGGCAAUCCGACUAUGAAAUCCAUACCAAUUUCAUCCCAUUUCCACUGAGGGAUCUGCAACGGUUGCAACAAUCCAGCUGGUCUCUGGUGUUCUGCCUUAAUUCUUCGACAACUAUCGCACAUAGCCACAUGCUCUGCGAUUUCCCUUUUCAUUCCGUACCACCAGAAUUUCUUCUUCAGAUCCUGAUACAUCUUCUCACUGCCAGGGUGAAUCGAAUAGGCUGUCUCAUGAGCUUCCUUGAGAAUCAACUCCCGAAUAGACUGGACAUUGGGAACACACAAGCGGUCUUUGAACCAUACCACACCUUCUGCAUCUUCUCGAAAGUCUUUGCCUCUGCCAUCUAGAAUCAAUCGCCGAAUCUCACUGAUCUUCUCAUCAUUUUUCUGCGCUUCUUUGAUUUCGCGCUCCAAGGUAGGUUCCAAUUCAACUGUGACUCCUCGAGAAUUGUUUAGAAAUCCGAGACUCAACCUGUCAAACUCCUUGGCCAACUCAUAAGGCAUCGGACGAGCGACCAUCAGAUUGACUUGACUCUUUCUGCUCAAAGCAUCUGCCACUACGUUUGCUUUGCCUGGAUGGUAAUGAAUCUCCAACUCAUAGUCUUUGAUCAAUUCUAACCAUCUUCGUUGCCUCAUGUUCAAUUCUGAUUGAGUGAAUAUGUACUUCAGACUCUUGUGGUCUGUGUAAACAUCGCAUUUCUGUCCAUACAGAUAGUGCCUCCAUGUCUUCAGUGCGUGAACCACUGCUGCCAACUCUAGAUCAUGGAUGGGGUAGUUCUUCUCAUGAACCUUCAGCUGUCGGGACGAGUAAGCCACAACUCUUCCCUCUUGCAUCAACACACAUCCCAAACCUGUGUAACAAGCAUCACAAUACACCGAGAAGGGCUUGUGCACAUCAGGCAAGACUAGGACAGGCGCUGUUGUCAACUUCUCUUUCAGCGCUUCAAAGGCCUCUUGGCAUUUCUGGGUCCACUUGAACUCAACCUUGUUGCCUAGCAACGCUGUCAUUGGCUUCGCAAUCUUCGAAAACCCUUUAAUGAAUCGCCGAUAAUAUCCGGCCAUUCCAAUGAAGCUCUUGAUUCCUCUAGCAUCUGUUGGUGCUUUCCAGUUCAGAAUGUCUGCCACUUUCUUCGGAUCCACAGUCAAUCCUUCUUUGUUGAUUAUGUGACCCAAGAACAGGACUUCACUGAUCCAGAACUCACACUUGCUCAACUUUGCAUACAACUGGUGCUCUCGCAAUCUCUGCAACACCAUCCUCAAAUGAUCUGCAUGCUCUUCUUCACUUUGAGAAUAAACCAGAAUGUCAUCAAUGAAUACCACCACGAACUUAUCAAGAUAAUCCAUGAAUACACUGUUCAUCAAGUUCAUAAAGAAUGCUGGCGCAUUGGUCAAACCAAAAGACAUCACUGUGAACUCAUAUAAACCAUACUUGGUAAUGAAUGCCGUCUUCGGAAUGUCCGAAGGUCGGAUCCUGAGCUGAUGAUAACCUGACCUCAGAUCGAUCUUGGAGAACACACUGGCUCCUCUCAACUGGUCGAACAGAUCUUCUAUUCUGGGCAAAGGAUACUUGUUCUUGAUCGUGACCUCAUUCAAAGCUCGAUAGUCGAUACACAUCCUCUUGGUACCAUCUUUCUUCUCCACAAACAAGACAGGGGCGGCCCAAGGCGAGGUGCUUGGCCGGAUGUAACCUUUUUCUGACAGCUCAUCAAUCUGCUUCUUAAGCUCAUCCAACUCUGGUCCAGAUAUUCUGUAAGCUCUCUUGAAGAUAGGGGCGGUUCCAGGAAGAAGCUCUAUGGCAAAUUCAACUUUCCGCUCUGGUGGCAUACCCGGUAAAUCCUUUGGAAACACAUCUGGGAAUUCGGACACAACCUUGAUACUCUCAAUCGGGUCUGCUUCACUGCUAUCGACAGUCAUCUGAUAACAACUUCCUUUCUUUGGCUCAGGCGGGACUAACUCAGUCACCACUUCCUCUCCUAGUGGGGACACUAACUUGAUUGUCCUUUUAUCACAACUGAUAACUGCCUGAUACUUAUCUAGCCAAUUCAUCCCUAGGAUGACAUCUAUUCCCUGAGUACCCAUUACUAUAAGGUUGGCGGGAAACGCUAUCCCCCUUAUUUUCACACUUAUAUUCAAACAAAUGCUAUCGGCUCGAAUUCUACCACCGGCUGAAUCAAUUUGAAUGGGGGUUGACAUGGUAGUUAUUGGAAGUUUAUGUGCUUCUACCCAUGAUGCAGUAAUGAAAGAAUGUGUUGCUCCAGUAUCAAAUAACACUUCUGCAAUAUGGGAGUCGACUGGGAACAUACCUACUGUCAUGCCGGGGGUCUCCUGAACUGCUUCAGCUUCCAAGUGGUUCAAUCUUCCAUGAUUAUAGCGCUGCUGAGAGCGAUUGCCUGCUCCAGGCUGAGACACAUUCUGCUUUGCUGGGGCAUUGGGGCCUGACUGCUGCUGGGCUGCCUUCUUUGGACAUUGCAUCACCCAAUGGCCUUGCUCUCCACAGUGGAAACAUGCCCUGUUUCCAACCUGAGCUGGUGCUGCCUGACUGUUCUGCUGAUUUGCUGGGGCAGGAAGACGAGGUGCUUGCUGAUUCUGCCUUUGAAACUGACCUCCUGACUGAUUGCUCUGACGGUUCUGGUACUGAUUCUGAGGGUACUGCCUUUGGAACUGCUGAUACUGCUGACGCUGCUGAUGCUGCUGAGGUGGACGCUGGUUCUGCCUGAACUGCUGAGGUUGAUUGCCUGAAAAGCGAGGGCGACUGCUGCUUCCAGACUGCGGUCCACUGAUCUUGCGCUUACGAUCUUCCAUCUCCUUGCGCUUCCUUUCUGUCAUGAUUGCUCUGUCAAUCAGGUGCUGGAAUGUCGGGAAGGUGUGAUUCAUCAGCUGAUACUGCAGAGGGUCAACCAAGCCUCUCAGGAAACGGUACUGUCGCUUGGCGUCGGUGUUGACAUCUUCAGGAGCAUAGCGAGACAAUUGCAGAAACUUGUCCCGGUACUCACUGACAGACAAUGGCCCUUGCUUAAGGGCCAGGAACUCCUCCUUCUUCACUGUCAUCAGACCUGCAGGCACAUGGUACUGACGAAAGCUACCCCUGAAUUCUUCCCAGGUGAUGGUGUCGGGGUUGGCAUGGGUGGCGAGGUAAGACUCCCACCAUGACUGGGCUGCUCCUCUCAACAGACGGGGACCAUACAGAACUUUCUCCCUGUCAUCGCACUGAGCGGUAUGCAACUCCCGCUCCACAGUGCGCAGCCAAUCUUCAGCAUCCAUGGGGUCAGAAGAGUGAGCGAACGUUGGUGGAUGACCUCUCAUGAAUUCAGCACGCUUAUCUCUAGGCAUCUGAGGCAUCUGAGGCUGGGGUGGUGCUUGCUGCUGUUGCUGCUGCUGCUGCUGCUGAAUGGCGGCCAAAGUCUGACCGAUGGCUUGAACUGCCUGAGUCUGCAUCAGAAACAUCUGCUCAAUCGACAUCGGGGGCGGGGGCGGCAGGUGCUGCUGCUGGGGCACCUCAUCCUGCGGAGCGGCUCGCUCCUGCUGAGCACGCCUUCCUCCUCUACGCCUGUUCUCUGACAUCUGCAGAACGCAACCACACAUCAGAACUGAUCUGGCAAAUCUUGCAGCAUAAGGAAAGAGAAUAGAAUUCUUCAACAGCACUGGGCAGGUGAGCAUCUUCACUGAUCUCCAACACAGACCACACAUCUUCUCAGAUAAAGAGGAAAGGAGAAUAAUGGGUUUCCCAACUAUAUAACUAACUUUAUUGACAUAGUAUGUAAACCAAAAUGCAGGGGAUACCCACACUCUGGUGACAAUCAUUACAAAGAUCCAAACCAAACAUAGUUCAUCAUGACAAGCAUAAAUGCACAGGAUAUAGCAAACUACCCUGUCUAACUAAAACUAACUAAGACCGAGACUAACGCUAAGACUGAAGCUUCUAUGUAUAUAUUUAUUUCGUAUUAAUUACAAGAUCCAGCUCUAACGAUCUAUGGUUCUAGAGUUAUCUUGGUCUUGCAGGCGGGAUUGCCAUAAGACUGGUGUCCACGCUGAGGUGAGCGGUACGGGUGCUGAGUCCCAACGGGAGCGGGGGAACCACCAUCCAGAAAACGACGUUCCGCGCGCUCAGCCCGCAGCAGGGCGAUCUCAGCACGAGCCCUACUCAGCUCGUCUAAUGCAUGGUCCAGCUCCGUGUUUAGCACGGCGGCUAGGUUGACUGUGCUGCUCAACCUAGGAUUGCCCUCACCGACAGGUGAGACAAUCACGCCUCCUGUGCUGCCAGAUGAACGGCGGGGGUAAUACUUCAGGUCAAGACCGUCAGCUGCCCCACCGAAAACCGAGCAGUAGUGCGAAAGCGCACGCCGUGCAGCAUCUUGCAUGGCUGCCUCAGCUGAGUCCCGCUCAGAGAUAGAAUAGUACUCUGAACAGGCCUCUGCACCCUGGAGACUGUCCUCCGGGCAGCGCACCAAGCAAGUCGCCUCCCAGCGGUCCGGGUAGACCCCGCGACUAUGCUGGUAGACCACACAGCGAUACUCGACGGACCAAGUAUGCCGGUCAAAUGCCCGACGUAGCAGGGUGUCGAGCGCAUCAUGGAAGUGACACCCGCGAGCAGCGUCGCGAGUGAUGGGUCGAGCAACCCAUCCUUCCGGCUCAGGAUUAGCAGAGAAGUCGGUGUCGUGGCUCGAGCUGUCGUCGCCAUCUCCGUCGUCUGGGUCUCCUCCAGCAGCUACUCCAGAAGCUGGGGCGCCCAGUGGUGGUGCAGGGGGCGGCUCCAGAGAAAGCACAGGGGAGCAGCUCCUCACAGACUCUAUCUCCUGGUGGAGCGAGAGGGAAGAGCUCCGCUGCUCCUGUCGUCGACGCUCCUGCUCCUCACGCAGGCGGUGGUGUAGUCUCUCCAAGUGGCUGGACUGUCCGGCCACGGGACGGCGAAGCGGACGCUCAGCAAGGCGGGAGGGUAAGAAGGGGAUGACUGACUUUCGUGCAGUGUGUCUAAGUCGAGCCAUCUACAAAAGACAUCGCAAGCAAAAGGGUGAGAACAGAAUUAAUAUGACCAGCAAGUAAUAAGUAAAUGAAGGAUCAGAAUAAAACAUAAUUUUCAGCAAGGUAUAAUAUGUAGUAGAACAUAGGUUUGGUCAGUAGGACCAACUUUUGAAGGGAUAUCAAAGUCAAGGAAGAGACAGAGGUCUAUAGUCCUUAGAACGACCAUUCUACUCUAGGUUAGCGGUCCUACAGUCAGCACGGCUCUGAUACCACUUAUGUCACACCCGGUUUUAAAAAGGCAAACCGAAUGCGAACCAUGUACGUGCCAGGAUCAGUUAUUCACGUACACAGCAGUUACAUAAUAUGGACAUCAUCACACAGUGCUCAAAAUAGUAUUAAUAAGGGAAAUAGUAGAUUACAUCAUACGUCUGAGACGUCCAUAUAGUUCUUACAAUAAAUCAAAGUGCGGAAAAGAAACGUAGAUAACGCGGCCUUCACAGGCAGCCGACUGGGGGUUGCCGCUAACCCACACCUAGAACUCGUCGUAAUCUUGGAACUCCUGGAAGUCUCCUUCCACAGCUUCAUCUUCGCCUGAGCAGUGGUUGCAAUGCUGACAACCUGGGGGGGGGGUUUGGUGUGUAGAGCAAGGGUGAGUACACAUCAACAUACUCAGCAAGUAUCCUGUUUGGCUGUAGUGGACUAGCUUUAUGUGGGGAUAAGUCAAGCAGUUGCUUUUAGUUGGUCAGGUUAUUACUUACUAGUAGAAAGCCAAGUUUUAGCAUUAACCCAAGUUAUUAACCCAAUGUAUCCUUUCCAAACGGAAAGAAUACCACUUACCAGCACCAUAACCAUAACCAGAACCAUCAAUCUCAUAACCACCUGUACCACAAUGUCUCUGAUCAAGUACCACUAAUCAUUGGAGCUCCCUUGGCCGCUCAUAACCGCGAGCACGGCUGAUAUAUCAGUUUCAUAACACUCUGCAGAGGUUGUGCACUUUACCCACAAGCCGUGAUUCCCAUUCUGCCCGGAGAUCAUGACUCUCCAUUGAUCACUACCAAGGUGAUCCAGCAGGGCAUCACUACGAAGCCUUUACAAAGAUUCCCCGGGACUGCAGCCACCCGUUAGGUUUCCUAAAUGCACCGCACUCCUCCCCAAGGGGCGAACCCAAACUUGGCAGAGCGAGCCGCAUACACCGAGCCCCAUUGACGGCACGACGGCUAAGUGAACUACACCCCGGAUCCUCUAAUUAUUCAGCUAAGGGCACCCCAUUCCACCCUCAUGGUUGCACUGUUUUCCCGGGCGGUCAUCCAUAGAACAGGUCCUUACGGAGAGGCACUCGAGAAACCGCUCGAGUCCCCUUGAAAACCACAAGUAUAAUCAUAAAGAAGAACGGGAAAACAGCGUAUCAUAGAUAAUCACAUCAUGUUCAUUGAUUAGAGUUGAGCAAUAGCAUCAGACUAAGUAGUAAUAAUCCGACCCAAAUAGGUAAACAAGGACAUGGAUAACAAAAGCUAGUCAAUCCUUAGGUAUAAAUGUGUAAUGCGGGAGGUGAAUUAAAGAAUGAAUAGGACAUAGAUAGGUCAAAGGACACUUGCCUCCACCAAACGACUGCUGCUCAGGGGCUUCUCCUGCGAAUUCCUCGGGCUCUUCGACUGGAUCGUUCUCUAUGCGAGCGCAAACAUACAUACAUACAUCCACAUAUUUAAUACAAAAGAACAGUACACCAUACAAGAUAACAAAUAAAGCGAAUAUGCAUCAAGUAUGACAUUCGAUAACGCAUUUGUUAUGGUCAGAAAGAAACGGGAAAGGUCUCGCAGGGGGGGUUAAAUCUUAUGCACUAACGAUCAAUUACAAUUGGUUUUUAACAAAAUAAUUCUGCUACAUAUACACUAAUGGAAACCUAAUCACUUUUAGUUGAUCAACAUUGCACAGGGUAAACAAUUAACUACGUGCGUCAAUAGCAUAACAGAAUUUUAAAUUAAACUUCCUAUUUUCCCAUAGCAUGAACAGUGAUUAGCCUACUUAAAAUACAGUAAUUAUGAUCACAGAAAGUAAAUAAAAUAAAAUAAAAAAAAAUAAAAAAAAAACAGAGGGGGGGGCGGUUGAACCGGCCCUAGGGCGGUUGAACCGGCCCUAGGCGGGGCGCGGGCGCGGGCGGCGCAGGGGGCGGCCGAACCGGGGGCGGGGGCGGCGCAGGGGGCGGCCGAGCCGGGGGGCGGGGCGGCCGAACCGGCGGGGCAGGGGGGCGGGUAGGGGGCGGCCGAGCCGGGGGGCGGGGCGGCCGAACCGGCGGGCAGGGAGGCGGCCGAACCGGCCAUGGGGAGAGGGGAUGGGGGAGGGAGGAGAGGGGGAGGGGGAAGCUCACCGGCGACGGGGACGGGGCGGCCGAGCGGGGCGGCCGAACGGCGACGGGGAGGGGCGGCGGCCUAGGCAGGGGCGGCGGCUAGGGCAGGGGGCGGGUAGGGGGCGGCGGCUUGGGUGGGGAGGGAGAAAAUGAGGGGGGAGAGGGAGAGGGUUAGGGGAUAAGGGAAAGAGGGGGGGGGCGGCUGGGCCUACUAGGCCCAAGAGGGGGGCGCCAGGGGGCGGCUGGGCCGGCCGGGGUCGGCCCACGGCGCGGGAGAGAGAGAAAAAAAAGGAGAGAGAAAGAGAGAGAGAAAAGAGAAAGAAAAGAGAAAGAAAACAUUUUCGAAAUCCGAUCUUUCUACAUGAAUGCAUUUGCACUUUCAAAGCAAUCAAAAGAAAUGCAAGGUUCGGCAUGGUGCAUCAAACAACAUAAAGUAUUUAGGGUUUUUAUACAUACGGGAAUUCCAAACCGAAUCCCGCUAGAACUUUGGAAAAGGUCAAGGUUUAGCGAGGGAAAAAGAAAAAGAAAAGGUAACGCCCGAAUUUUGGCGAGUAAAGAAAAGAAAAAAAAUUCAACUGCAAAAAUUCGGGGCGUUACACUACAGCAGCAACAAUUGUUGCCAUACAACCAGUUCUCUUUGAUGAACCCUGUCUUGUCGAGGCAGCAACCCAUCGUUGGAGGUGCCAUCUUUUAGAUAACAUAUGAGAUGUACUCGAUAAUGGUGCCCUCAUACCGGCAUGUGUUUCCUAGAAAUAACCAAUAUAUUGAUUGAGAUUUAUCUCGAUAUAUUUCUGAACUAUGUCCAUCAUAUAAAUAAUUGAAAACAUCAAAUCGUAAUUAUAAACUCAUGCUUGGCCAAUACAUAGACAAUGCGAUAUUACUUCAACAUCCCAAUGAUGUCCUAGCCCAACCUCUUGAAUGUUAGUGUUUUAAUGUGUGAGGGUAUAUUUAUAAGAUAGACGUGACUAUUUGCGCUUUUUCAGUACAUACACAUAUGGUAUGUUGAUUUGAUAUAGUGAUGGACACAUGCUUUGACCAUGAAUAUUCAAAUCAGUUGUACUUGCACGAAGCAAAACAUAAUAUAAGUUUAGGAGUACACUUAUAACUGUAUCCAAUCAUGCUCACACAAAUUCAUACCACAUUAUAAUUUUUUGGUAAAUAUUCCACACAUGUACUUUUUACAAGAACCCAAAUUUUGCAAACAAAUGUAGCAUUGUAGACAUGUAGAAUUCUUUGAAGCACGUGAACUUAACAACAUCAAGGUCAUUAAAUCAACUAGACCCUAUGAGUAACAAUUUCGAUAUUGCAAACACCAAAUUAUAGAACUUAUUGGCUGAAAAAUUAUGAGCAAUGUGAACUUUAAAUUAUUAUACCAUAAAUAUAUCAAAGAAUUUUUUUAGGAACGUAAAAAUUGCAUGGAAUGGGCUGCCCAACGUGCUAGCUCACUUCUAUGCUAGGCAGCAUUACCAAAGAUGGGAAUGUUGCUGAUGAACGCCAAACCCACUCAAAUAAUAUUUAUAUUUGGGUUGUUUAGUUGUAAAAGUGAAGACCCAAGAUAAAAGUACCAAUUGUCCAAUGACAUUCGAUUAUUUUGUUCGGGGAGCACUUGGUGCGUCAUUUGUACUCGUAUCUUAGUCCAAUAGAUUGUAUUUUCCUUCAAUGUGUAGAAUCCGACAAAGUGCAUGUUCUAAAAUUGUAAAUCUAACUAAAUUAGAAAGCUUGUUACUAAUUUGAUGGUUUAUUAGGUGUAGCUCAUAAAACUAGAACCAACAUAGCCUGCACUCACAUGUCAUAGAAAAUAGGAGUAUCCAAGCACAAUUUGUGUGAGCAUCCAUGACACAAAUUAUAUAUAGAGUGAUAUAAUUAAUUCCUUCAAAAUAAAAAAAGGAAAAAAUAAAGUGUUUUUUGAUACUGCAGGAUAUCUCUUUUAGCUAAUGAGGAGUACUAAAAAGUUGUUGCACUUUUGGGUGGCGAGAAUUCCUCAAUCAUAACUUUGACAUAAUUUUAAUCCAGAUCACAUAUAUAGCAUCAUAUCUUAAUUAUUAAAUUAAUAUGGUUCCAUCAUCGUAUUAUUAAUUCAAUCUGAUAUAACCAUCAAAUCUUAAUUAUUAAAUUAAUCUGGAGCAUACAUUAGAUUAUCAAACCAAAUCAACCCGACAUAACCAUCGAAUGUUUCGCUAUGCGCCUUAAGCGCAUGGUCUCAGGCUUAAUCAUCCGGAAUAACCAUUCGAUCUUCUGGUAAGCAUAGUAAGCGUAUGGUUCAUGGCUUCGUCAUCCGGAAUAACCAUCAUAUUUUCCGGUAUGCACUGAAAGCAAAUGAUCCGGGGUUUUGGUAGGUGAAACGUUGUUAGGUGAAUGCGGAUCCUGGCUGCUGUUGCACGUGUGAACUGCUGUGUGGAAGCUGCUGGGUCCUCCUCUAUUUUGCGUGGUUUGUGGCAGGCUUGGAAUUCUCUCAUGGCUUCGGUGCUUGGAACUGCUCGUACGUCCGGUCCUGCGUGCAUCUCUCUCUCUCUCCUGGCUGGAGGUGUGGUGGUCUGGCGGCUUGUCUGUGUUUUUCUUUUUACGACGGCUUCUCGUGUUGGCUAGGGUUGGCGUCAGGGGCCCGGUCAGCUAUGCUCCCUCUGCUUUUAUAGGCAGUGCACCACAGCAGGCAGAGCAGAGAUAAAGAUUCCAACUGCAUCCAUCUACAAACAAGGCUCUCGGUGGAAGGGAUAAAAGCAUGCAUCGCAAUUGCCGCUGCCCUGCUUUAGCCUUGAGUCUCGUCAAUUGGAUGACCAAAAGAUGUCACCGUCUAAGCUCUUUUCUUUGUGCAGCUGCCUGUUUGUCACCAACACAAAAUUGUAGGUGCAUGUUUGACACCAAUUAUCCUCUACCACAAAGAACUACAAUAGUGAUGGAGGAUCUGAUCCGGCACUGAUCCACUAUAAUGCAUAGUGGGUGAUGCAUGUCUAAUGGUGGUUGUUUAGUGUUAGUUUGGGCAUGUUGGAACUAAGCAAUUGUCGAUGCCAUACACUAGAUGUGAAGAAUGUUGUUAGCGUUAGGAGUAGAGGUGUCAAUGGGGACCGAUACCCGUUAAGCCAUGGAGAAUUUCUCUAUUAGAUUUAGGGUAUGGGAAAUUUUUUAUUUCCAUUUGCUGAAGUUAGGUAUACAUCUAUUUGAAUCAAUAGUUACAGUUCAACAGAAACUCCUUCCGCUCUAGUUUGUUUCAUGUCCUACCUUUUUCCUAAACUAGUGUUUCCUAAAUUGACAUACUCUCUAGAAAAUCUAUCCAAAUUUUGAAGAUCAAAUAUGUUCCAUUGAAUUAUUCAUGACAUAUAUCUUGGUAUUGCUUUUUGUCAUCAGAAUAUAUUUUGAACUCAGUAAAAGUUAUACACGAUUUUUUUAGACAAUACUAAAGCAAGUUGUAUCAAGAACACUGGAGGUGUGCGCCAAUUGCCACAUUUAGAUAUAAUCAUUCUAAUUUUGGUCAUCCUAUGUGUGUGCAUUCAUCUAUGCAUUCUAGGAUUUCAAUUAGUCUCAAUCUUGUAGUAUUUGUUCCUUCAUUGUCAAAUCACUUCUCAUCUAACUACUAUGCUUGUUUAACCAUCAGAACAUAACUACAACAAUAUCCAUUUAUAAAGGUUUUGAUAGCAAACUUUACAUAUUCAUAUCAUGUUAAGGUUGUCACAUGUGUAAAGGUGAAGAGAUCAUGCAUGUCAUUCCACGUAGAUGAAAAGAAUUCCUAUAUAAAAUGACACCUUUUCUUGUAGGUAGUGGAAAGUAUCUUUCCAGCAAAGACCAUAUAAUCCGAUAAAGUUGAUAACUAAAUGUCAAAAUAGAGUAGAUGCCAUAUCAUAUAUACCUUAUCUGUUGUUUGGAAAAAAAAGACUAAAUCCCAAAAAUAUAUAUGAGAUCUCACUUGUAUAAAUAGCUCCCAAAUUAGUAGUUAACCAUCACCCAUAAUAUUUUGAACAUUCAGAAACACACCUAGCGAAGCGCACUAGCAACGACCUAACAACAAUGGCUACCAAGAUAUUAUCCCUCCUUGCGCUUCUUGCCCUUUUUGUGAGCGCAACAAAUGCGUUCAUUAUUCCACAAUAUUAGUUAUACUCUUAAUGUCACGAUGUAUAUGUUUGAUUAAAUUGUUUAAUAGAUAUAAUCAAAGAUAAAUAACUUGCAUGGCUCCGUAGGAUAUUAUGUGUAUCUUGUUCAUGAUCACUAAUGGUCCUCAUAGGCACCAUUUGAUUUGCUGCUCCCAUUGUCUCAAUUUCCAUUGUAUUGUCAUCGUUGACCCCCGACGCUCGAAAUUCUGCAGGUGGUGUUACAAUAUGUCUCCGUGGACUCGUAGCACAGUUUGGAGAUUUAAGUCUUAGGGUGAGCGCUGUUGGUAGACCACUGUAUGUGUCUGCACGACGGCCACCAUAUUUGACUUUUUAUUUUAUAAACCGAUGUAUUUAUACAAAUAUUAAUGUACCUGAUGCAGCUCUGUGCAUGAUGCAGAAGAAACAUCACCAGUUUCUUCUUCUCCACCGUCAACCAUGGGUCAACAAUGCAGCGACGCCGCCAGUUCCCUUUCUUAUAUGCACCGCUCUGUCUAGUCUCGGGUAGCCAUGUUUACGCUAUUUUUUGUGGUCAUUUACGGUCUAUAAAGUUUGUUCCUGCAUGCAUGGAGAUAUUAUCGGAGACGUGACAACUACCCGAUAGAUUUUAUCUCGGUUUGUUGAAACAAUUUUGUAUUUACUCAACUAAAUGAAACCAGUUACGCAAUUUUCUGUAUAUAUUUAUGCCUGAGUUUCUGCUUACGUGCAUGCCAUGCAAUAUUCUCGGGAACUACCAAUUAUGGUUUGUGAUUUUAUCGCGUAUUCCGUUUAUGCUAAUAUUCAAACACGUUUACAUUUUGUUUGUUAAUGUUUAUGCUUUGGUUCGACCAACCAGAAAACCGCACAGAGAAACUUGGGCGCUGCCCGGAUCGAACAAAUUGGCUGGGGCUUCCCGAUACUAAUGGAAGCCCUAGGCUUCCAUUAGUUCGUCCAUAUAUAUAUAUAUAUAUAUAUAUAUAUAUAUAUAUAUAUAUAUAUAUAUAUAUAUAUAUAUAUAUAUAUAUAUAUAUAUAUAGUUUAUCUAUUUGGAGCCCUGGGCUUCCAAAAAAACAAGGAAGCCCUGAUCCAAAAAGUCUAUUCCGGUUCAGUGCAACCACAACCGGCCAACCCAACCACAAUCCCCCACGCUUGCGCGUACAUUUCAUUUUUUCCAUCAAUUCAGCCGAAACCGCCACCUUAAAUUAGGAUAUAUUAUUUUCCCCCAAAACAAACCCUAACCGGUCGGCCCAAUUCUCACGCGCUCGCCACAGAUCUAGCCCUGCCUACAGCGCUCUCGCUGCUGCACGUCCCGUUCACGUCGUCGUCCGCCCCUGGCCCUUGCCUCACCGACUCGUGGCCGUCGGCAGCUCCACGUGGGACACGGCCACGCCUGACGCCUCCACCUCCACGACUCAGCUGACGGCUCCUCUCCAUGGGACGGUGCAUGACGACGCCAUGGCGGUUCACCGGCUCCAACCUUCCCCCUCCGGCCUACAGUCCUCCACCGUCCGGUCGCCAGUGGUCCUCCAUGGGCCAUGGCUGACGGGUGCACGCACCGGUAUUCAUCCCUUGCUGCUCUAUUCCCAAUGCUCUAGCUCGUGUACUAGUUGUGCAGCCUGUCGCCUAGCCCUGCUCCGGCGUGAAGUCCUGAUGCUUCUAGUUGUUUUUGUCUUAAAUAAAGAUGCUAGUAUGCAUGUGGCUAUGUGAGGUCUAUUGCAUCCGAUUUAGUGCUGCACAUUUAAGUAAUCUUGAUGAUUGAUUCAAGCAAUUUUUUACUUGGCCUUUAUAUUCUAGAUUAUUGUAACCGGUUGAAACUAAGAGAUACAUGAUGAUUUUCUAAAUCAUAAAUAUAUUUAUAUUGCAUAAUCUUCUACCUAAGGCCUUAGUGCCUAUCCUUAACAAAUAUUUUUUUAUACUUGAUUCUACUGUGUAGGUAUGACAGGUCGUUCAACGAGCACCUCAUUAUCCAGAGUCUCACAAUUUAAAUUGUUUGAUUUCUAAAGUCCAAUUAUAUUUCUAGUCAGCAAUCACAUAUUAACUACACAAGCAAAGUGCAGAGAUAUAUUAUGUUCCUUUUUGAAACAAGUUAUUUCUUACAAUACCAUUUUCAUUGUGUUCUUUUCAUUGUAUUUUUCCUUCAUCUAUCAUGUCACGUUGUGGUUGUGGACCUGGCUAGCUUCAAUCAUGCUUUUCCUUUUUCAGUUUCGCCUUUUCCAGUGGUAAUACUUGACAGAGAAAUCCUGAACCAAGCGCAAACCUUCUGCAAGACCUGGUAACUUAUUUUAGGGGCUAGAAAUAGGCGACGACAGUUCAGGCCUUGUUUUUUACACCAAUCCAACCCUGGAUUAGCAAUGAUUUUUAUGCAGCUCUUGUUUGUUACGACUACUCAUGGCACCAUUUAUGCAUACAUCUGAACUAUUUAUGCUGUUGAUAUGUUUCUAGUGUGGCAAUGAUUUUUUUACAUAUAGAUGCUUACCAAAAGUUCAAAAUCUUUCCGGUCGGUAGCAGUAGAAGCAGCACACCCAAUUUGUCAUACACUCUGUAAUUUUUAUUUCCUAAAUAUGUCUUUUUAUGCUAAUUUGAAUACGCUAUUACGCCCAAUUACUAGAUCGCGCGUAUGCUCCAUUUUGUAAACACGUAGACCACCAAAUUGUACAUUUUUUAUGUUCUUUUUAUGCUUUUAUUCUGAGUUGAAUUGGUCCUCACAUGAUCAUGCAUCAAUACCCAAUGGUUCAGACUCAUCUAAUGCUUCUGCUUCCUUACAUGAACAUGCAUUAGCACAUCAGUCAUCUAGCGCUACUUACUAUAACAAGCACACAUUAUCCACCGAUAUGAUUCUUAUUCCUGCUAAUUUUAAUGUGUUAUUAUGCUCAAUUAUCAGAUCUCGUGUACGCUCCGCAUUGUAAACACGUAGACCAAUUCUCCUACAUUGUUUUUGUUCUUCCUUUUAUGCUUUUACGAUGAUUUGAAUUGGUCCUUUUCAGAACAAUGCACCCCCAGUACGUAGUCCACUCUAGAGCAGUAUACGACAGAUACGCCCAGUACCUCCAGUAAGUAUAUGCUCUUUAUUUUUGUGAUCUACUGCCCAAGUAUCCAGAAGGCAAACUAGAUUUUGAUGUCUGCAUAUUAAAAUUGCCGAUAUCAAAUAAAUCGUCCAUGAGUUGUCCUAGAGUUUCUAGUGUGAAGGAUAUGCAUUGAAUCAGUUUUAUAUGUUUUCGGAAUGAUGGACAAGGUACAACAUGAUAGGAGAAUUUUUUUACACCCUAGUUAUCUUGUUUUAAUUCACCCUUUUUGCGCUCCAAUUAUUUUGGUGAAUCUUAGCAUAGAACUUGACCUUAUAUUAUUUUGUAUGUUUGGUUUGCAUGGGAUAUAUUUAUGAACAUUGAUAUCGUUUUUAUGCUUACUGACAGAAUGCAUAUGGCCUGAAAAUGGAGAAUUGAGGUAUAAAAUAUCGGCUCUUCACUGUCAUAUGCAUUCAUUAGCUUUUUGGUGAUUGGCUCAAUUUAAUGGUUGGUGCACUCAUGCAAUUUUGAACUAAAACAACAACUUGUUUGCACUAUCCAUGCAUAUUGAUAUUGCUAUUGUAGCAACUGCUAUAAAUAACUGUGGCACCAUUUAUGCAUACACUCCACUAUAUAUGUGUUUUGAUUUGUUAUGAUCAGAAAUUCCAUUAUUAACGACUGAAUUUUGGUGUGCUGAUGCUAUAACCUGUGACAUCCAGCUAUUUUCUUGAUUUGUUACAUCUUUUUGUCAAUCUUAAUCUUAUUUUAUUUGAUUUAUUGCAUCAUCCAUUUGAAUAUAGACAUAAAAACCAAGAGCUAAAAUGAAUACUAUUUCCAGUUCUAGGCGGCAUUAUAAAUUCUAUUUUUUUCUUAUAAUGAUGUGAAUCUUGAUGGUUUAAUACUAUUGUUUUAGGACAAUUAUUAUGGUUUCAUACUAUUUCCAGUUCUUUAGUCAUGGAUUUUUUUUCAGAAGUUGAUGAACUCUACCUUCGCAGGAUCUAGUUCCUUGAAUCUUACUGUCUUUUGAGUUUGAGCAUAUACUGAUGUGGAGAGGAAGUGAUUGGAAAUCAUCUCUUCCUCCAUUAGAAAAUAGUUAUGAAGUGACAAAGGUGCAAGAAAGUUUUAGUGGCAAAGAAUCUAAUGAAAAGGUUACACAUUCAGGAAAUGUUCUGAUCCAGAUUUAGUUGGUCAGUGUUGCAACAUCUCACAAGAACUGGAACUUGGAUGAAGGUCAAGAAAAAUUUAAAGAUUCCACUGACAGUGAUAUGGUACUGAAUUCUGCAAAGGAUGUUCCUGCAUUGUUCCAUUCUACAGGUAUAUCUAGAACUGAACCCUCAGCAGACAUUGCAUUGGAAUAUUCCCCAUUAAAUCCAGUAUGUGAUAUUAUGGAUCCAUCCCUGAACUGCCGAAGUAUCCCAACAAACAAAUGUGAAAGUAGAGCUCUGGUAGAGAAGUCAGAACAUUGUCCGAAUGAUUAUAAUUUGGAAAUGAAGGGGAAAAGAAACGAUGGUACAAAAUGUACAGUUGUUCUAAAUAGCGGUUCUAAAGUAGAGGGAUUGUUAUGUCUUUUGGAGCAAGCCAUUCACAGUGGCAGGGCACUUGUUCUGAGUGAAGAUGAACUUGCUGAUUCAGAUCUGGUCUAUGAAAAGUCUGUUGCUUUUAGAAAGUCAAUUCUGCGAAGACUGGUUUUUGAGAAUACUCGAAGGAAGUCCAGUGCCAGGAGAAAUGUGCCAGACAAUCAUGCAAGAACUAAAACACAUAUUAUAGCAAAUAAAAUGUUGAGCAGUCCUGUUGAAAAUAAAUUUAUCGUUAAUGGAGGAUCUGCAAUGCAGACAAUUGACCAUGGACAAGAGUGUCUUUCUGGUGUUGUUCAUCAAGGUACCUUAAGAGUAGAUGAACUAGCAAAGUUACUAGCUUGAGAGGUGAUUGCUCUUUUAUCAACCACAUAGACCAGUAUCAACAUCCUUUGAAACAUAUGCAAGAUUUGCAUGAACUCUGAAUUUGGUUAAAACAAGUCUCAGGUCUGUUGCGUCGUGGCGAGUCCUUUUUAACCUUGAAAUAUUGAACUAUAAUCAUGUGCGAUGUACAAACAACCUUCCGAAUACAUAUUCUCUGAUUUGUCUGUUGUCACCAUAAUUGGCCACUGAUAAAUAACCCUUCUGUUUUAUGUGACAAAAAAUGGUCCACACGAUGCGUUUUACGUUCAAAAACUUCUACGCGACAUGCACGGAAACUAACGCUAAACAUGCGUGAUUUAAACGUCGUAAUUCGUUACGAAACAGAUCAACGAUUUAUGCUAAAAUUCACACCCAUUUACGCUAUUUUGGAUCAUAUUUUACGCAAAAAUCCGCCCGAGCCAGAACCCGCGCAUGAUCCGACGCGCGCGAUUUUUACGCCGUAAUUUUUGGGCCACAUUCGUCGUUAUGAAACUAAGUUACGAUUUACGCUAAAAUUUUUACCCAUUUACGUUGUUUUGGUUAACGUUUUACGCAAAAAUCCAUCCAAGCCAGAACCCGCGCAUGAUCGGACGCGCGCAAUUUUUACGCCGUAAUUUUUGGGCCCUAUUCGUCGUUACAAAACAGAUCUAUGAUUUACGCUAAAAUUCAUAACCAUUUACGCUGUUUUGGUUCACGUUUUACGCAAAAAUUCGCCCAAUCCAGAUUCCGCGCACGAUCGGAAGCGCGCGAUUUUUACACCGUAAUAUUUGGGCCCAUUCGUUGUUAUGAAAUAGAUCUACGAUUUACGCUAAAAUUCGUACUCAUUUACGCUGGUUUGGUUCACGUUUUACGCUAAAAUCUGCCUGAGACAGAACCGUGCACGAUCGGAUGCACGCCUACCUGCGCGUAGGUAUACCUGGCUGGGGCUUCUCGGUACUAAUGGAAGCCCUGGGCUUCCAUUAGCUCGUGUAUAUAUAUAUAUAUAUAUAUAUAUAUAUAUAUAUAUAUAUAUAUAUAUAUAUAUAUAUAUAUAUAUAUAUAUAUAUAUAUAUAUAUAUAUAUAUAUAUAUAUAUAUAUAUAUAUCAAACUUCAUUAGAUUUGUAUAUUUAUCACCUAAAUUGCAAAUGUAUAGUGUCGUUCCUUCUAUGUAUGGACUAAAUGGUGAAUUACAUACUUCUUUAACAUAUUUAAUUGAGGUUUUCUUGGCCCUGUUCAAAUGUUUUUAAACAGCCUACAAUACAGCGUUGACCUUUGUUUACCAUUUAAAUGCUGUUCAAACAGGUUAGAUAUAACGGUGGUUGCGACUGAAUGCCGAGGCAUGCAUUUCUACAAGGUGGUUUAUUAACUAGGGUCCACUCCUUCAUAUGUACCCACAUAUAUACAAGGUGGUUUUUUAACGAUAGGAAUAACUACACCUGGGAGUAGGAAAAAUGCACCAUAUAUAUAUGUCAAACUUCAACUAUAUAUUAGAACCAUUUGAGACUUUCUGAUUGGUGUCCUUCGCAAAUAUAACCUCAUGGUAUGGCUUAUAUGACAGAACAUCCAUUAGAUGUGUGUGAAAGAGAGGACGCUACACCUGCUGAGUGAGGAUGCUGAUUGAAUUGCUGCUGCAUAUAUAUUGGUUUCGAUGAAUUGCCAUAAGCGGAUAUGUGGCCCAUGCACUCCUGUUGCACCAUUCAUGUGUCCAUCUGAUAAACCAUAUGCAGAUGAGUUGUCCAGCAUGUCUGAAUGUAUUCCAGAAUUAUUGUGGCCUAUGCUGAAUCUGAUUGCAAUUUUGGUUGCUAGAAAAUUGGAUCUGGAUCCGGAGCUGAAUCCUGGAGUUGGGAUCCUGUUGAUUACUGAAUCUGGAGCUGCACAUUCUGUUGAUUACUGAAUCCUGGAGUUGGGAUCAUGUCUCAUGUGAGCUGAACCAACUGAACCCGGCCCAUCGUAGAUUGUACGUUAUUUGUGGUAGAUUUUGUGGAAUGCCAGAAUUUAAAUGCUGGUAGCCAUUGGACCUGUGUGGAGGAAUUAAGAGUGGGUUACUAUAAAAACAAAAUGUUAUUCUUUUACAAUUUUUUGUUAAUACACAUGGCUCUGUUCCUGAUGCAGCAUUUCCUAUAUAUAGACUUGAUGAAACAUUUCCUGAUGAAGCUUUCUUUUUCUUAACAGGUCAGUGGAGGUGACGUUUAGUACGAAAUGAGGACACAUGUCACUUAUCUGCUGCGAAUACUGCCGUCGGACAAAAAAACUUAUAACUUUUUGUGCAAUCAGCAAUUACUAAUAUGCUGCUCGCGAUGAAUGAUGUGUGUAUGCUACUUUUGGACCUGUGGUAUCUAAGGCUGCCAACCAUAAUGUUUUGGCAAACACAAAUCCGUGUGGCUAAACAAAAAUCUUGAUGCAUGUUGUAUGAUCCAGCUAACAUCAAUGCCGCUUUAUUGUAAAUGUUUAUGUUUUUACUAUAUGACUUACUAUAUGUGUUGAUUAUAUUGCAAAUAUUUUUAUCUCCUCCCAUUCUCGGCGCCUCCUGUUCUAGUUUGUACAUAAUGAAGGGUAGACUCACAGCAUAGCUGGUGCAAGGGAAAAAAUGUUGCAUAAAAUAUGUCAUUUCCAUUUUUUGAGGAAACAUGUCAACAUUGACAUUUGCUGAAGUUAGGUAUACAUCUAUUUGAAUCAACAGUUACAGUUCAACAUAUACUCCUUCCGCUCUAGCUUGUUGCGUGUCCUACUUUUUUUCUAAAUCACUUUUCUCUAAAUUGACAUACUCCCUAGAAAAUCUAUCCAAAUUUUGAAGAUCAAAUUUGUUCCAUUGAAUUAUUCAUGACAUCUAUCUUGGUAUUGCUUUUUAAUAAUCAGAAUAUAUUUUGAUCUCAACAAAAGUUAUACACGAUUCUUUUUAGACAAUACUAAAGCAAAUUGUAAUCAAGAACACUUGAGGUUCGCACCAAUUGCCACAUUUAGAUAUAAGCAUUCUAAUUUUGGUCAUCCUAUGUGUGUGCAUUCAUCUAAGCAUUCUAGGAUUUCAAUUAGUCUAUAUCUUGUAGUAUUUGUUCCUUCAUUGUCAAUUCACUUCUCAUCUAACUACUAUGAUUGUUUAACCAGUAGAACAUAACUACGACAAUAUCCAUUUAUAAAGACUUUGAUAGCAAACUUUACAUAUUCAUAUCAUGUUAAGGUUGUCACAUGUGUAAAGGUGAAGAGAUCAUGCAUGUCAUUCCACGUAGAUGAAAAAAUUCCUAUAUAAAAAUGACACCUUUUCUUGUAGGUAGUGGAAAGUACCUUUCCAGCAAAGAUCAUAUAUAUAAUCCGAUAAAGCUGAAAACUAAAUGUCGAAAUCGAGUAGAUGCCAUAUCAUCUAUACCUUAUCUCUUGUUUGGAAAAAAGACAAAACCAAAAAAUAUUUAUGAGGUCUCACUUGUAUAAAUAGCUCCCAAAUCAGUAGUUAAUCCAUCACCUAUAAUAUUUUGAGCAUUCAGAAACACACCAAGCGAAGCACAUUAGCAACAACCUAACAACAAUGGCUACCAAGAUAUUAUCCCUCCUUGCGCUUCUUGCGCUUUUUGCGAGCGCAACAAAUGCGUUCAUUAUUCCACAAUGCUCACUUGCUCCAAGUUCCAUUAUUACACAGUUCCUCCCACCAGUUACUUCAAUGGGCUUCGAACACCCAGCUGUGCAAGCCUAUAGGCUACAACAAGCAAUUGCGGCGAGCGUCUUACAACAACCAAUUUCCCAGUUGCAACAACAAUCCUUGGCACAUCUAACAAUACAAACCAUCGCAACGCAACAGCAACAACAAUUCCUACCAGCACUGAGCCACCUAGCCAUGGUGAACCCUGCCGCCUACUUGCAACAGCAGUUGCUUGCAUCAAACCCACUUGCUCUGGCAAACGUAGUUGCAAACCAGCCACAACAACAGCUGCAACAGUUUCUGCCAGCGCUCAGUCAACUAGCCAUGGUGAACCCUGCCGCCUACCUACAACAGCAACAACUGCUUUCAUCUAGCCCGCUCGCUGUGGCCAAUGCACCUACAUACCUGCAACAACAAUUGUUGCAACAGAUUGUACCAGCUCUGACUCAGCUAGUUGUGGCAAACCCUGCUGCCUACUUGCAACAGCUGCUUCCAUUCAACCAACUGACUAUGUCGAACUCUGCUGCGUACCUACAACAGCGACAACAGUUACUUAAUCCACUAGCAGUGGCUAACCCAUUGGUCGCUGCCUUCCUACAGCAGCAACAAUUGCUGCCAUACAACCAGUUCUCUUUGAUAAACCCUGUCUUGUCGAGGCAGCAACCCAUCGUUGGAGGUGCCAUCUUUUAGAUUACAUAUGAGAUGUACUCGAUAAUGGUGCCCUCAUUCCGGCAUGUGUUUCCUAGAAAUAAUCAAUAUAUUGAUUGAGAUUUAUCUCAAUAUAUUUCUGAACUAUGUUCAUCAUAUAAAUAAUUGAAAACAUCAAAUCGUAAUUAUAAACUCAUGCUUGGUCAAUACAUAGACAAUGCGAUAUUACUUCAACAUCCCAAUGAUGUCCUAGCCCAACCUCUUGAAUGUUACUGUUUUAAUGUGUGAGGGUAUAUUUAUAAGAUAGACGUGACUACUCGCGCUUUUUUUAGUACAUACAUAUAUGGUAUGUUGAUUUGAUUAGUGAUGGACACAUGCUUUGACCAUGAAUAUUCAAAUGAGGUGUAUUUGCACGAAGCAAAACAUAAUAUAAGUUUAGGAGUAGACUUAUAACUGUGUCCAAACAUGCUCACACAAAUUCAUACCACAUUAUAAUUUUUUGGUAAAUAUUCCACACGUAUUUUUUACAAGAACCCAAAUUUUGCAGAUAAAUGCAGCAUUGUAGACAUGUAUAAUUCUUUGAAGCCCCUGAACUUAACAGCACCAAGGUCAUUAAAUCAACUGGACCCUAUGAGUAACAAUUUCAAUAUUGCAAACACCAAAUUAUAGAACUUAUUGGCUGAAAAAUUAUGAGCAAUGUGAAGUUUAAAUUAUUAUACCAUAAAUAUAUCAAAGAAUUUUUUUUGAGGAACGUAAAAAUUGCAUGGAAUGGGCUGCCCAACGUGCUAGCUCACUUCUAUGCUAGGUAUCAUUACCAAAGAUGGGAAUGUUGCUAAUGAACGCCAAACCCACUCAUAUAAUAUUUAUAUUUGGGUUGUUUAGUUGUAAAAGUGAAGACCCAAGAUAAAAGUACCAAUUGUUCAAUGACAUUCGAUUAUUUUGUUCGGGGAGCACUUGGUGCGUCAUUUGGACUCAUAUCUUAGUCCAAUAGAUUGCAUUUUCCUUCAAUGUGUAGAAUCCGACAAAGUGCAUGUUCUAAAAUUGUAAAUCUAACUAAAUUAGAAAGCUUGUUACUAAUUUGAUGGUUUAUUAGGUGUACCUCAUAAAACUAGAACCAACAUAGCCUGCACUCACGUGUCAUAGAAAAUAGGAGUAUCCAAGCACAAUUUAUGUGAGCAUCCAUCACACAAAUUAUAUAUAGACUGAUAUAAUUAAUUCCUUCAAAAAUAAAAAAGGAAAAAAUAAAGUGUUUUUUUGAUAUUGCAGGAUAUCUCCUUUAACUAAUGAGGAGUACUAAAAAGAUGUUGCACUUUUGGGUGGCGAGAAUUCCUCAAUCAUAACUUUGACAUAAUUUUAAUCCGGAUCACAUAUAUCAUCAUAUCUUAAUUAUUAAAUUAAUAUGUGUCGGAGAGGGAAUUCUCCGGCCGGGUGGCGGAAUGCACCCGCCCUAAAUCCUAAGAUGAGGAAGGGGCUUAAGUGUUUUGCCUGUCUUGCUAAGCGAUCACCGAGCACACGAACACGCGAGGAUUUAGAGUGGUUCGGGCCGCCAGAGCGUAAUACCCUACUCCACUGUGUGUUGGAUUGCUGUGGAAGCUUGAGAGCUGAGAGUCUGAGUCCUUUGUCUGUGUUGCGUGCCCUCCCUUUUAUAGCUCAAGGGGGGCAUGUACAAGGACACUGAACCCCGACAUGUGGGCCUAGGGACAUAACAGAUGGAAUACUCGGAGCAACUAAUAUCAGUCACCUUGUGCAAUCAUCCUGUGCCCCGAUAUCCGCCGCUAGAGUAGCAUUGGCGUGCAGCAGAAGGUUCCCCGGCAUCGUACAAGUCAUGAUGGCCAUCGCACGCGCGCUGCGGUAUGGGCGUACUGCCCACUGUCUGAUUGGACAGGCACGUCGCCUGUAGAGUGGUCUGGUCGUCGCCUGUCAUCAGAGUGGACGGGGCACAUUAAAUGCCGAGACGGCACAUCGCCUGUCAGCAGGGCGGACAGGCGGCGCGUCCUCUCCGCAAUAAAUGUAGAGAUCACGUGGCUCAAAGGCCUUACGUCAGGCUCCACCCGCCGGCUUACGUCACGAGCAAUAGGCCGCGUGGCAGCAUUAGGUCCUCGCCUGAGCGGGGAGCGGAAGUACACCAGGCAAGACCCUGACAAGUGUCUACGCCGGACCCCUGUACGUCCUUGACUUAGGCCAGGGUAUUCUUCAUCCCGGGAUCUUGCUGUGGGUGGCUUGGACCUCACUUAGAGGGGUCCAGGUCCCAUCCAAGGGAACAUGGAGGUCCUGGGUCGUACCCGGAGGUCCGAGUCAUGUAUGCUGGGGUCCGACACUUUCCCAUGGGGGUCCGGAUUCACUGACGAUAUCACGGUAUGUGUUACCUUCUCUGGUCACUUGGCGGCCCCGGAGUCGCCCACGUGGUGGGGUCGGGCGUUGUUUACCGUGCGUCUAGAGAUAGACGUGCGGGUACCGCGCCUUCAUACUAUAGUAAGGGGUACUCCUGUUCCAGGGUAUCGACAAUAUGGUUCCAUCAUCGUAUUAUUAAUUCAAUCUAAUAUAACCAUCAGAUCUUAAUUAUUAAAUUAAUCUGGAGUGUACAUUAGAUUAUCAAACCAAAUCAACCCGACAUAACCAUCAAAUGUUCCGCUAUGCACCUUAAGCGCAUGGUCUAGGGAUUAAUCAUCCGGAAUAACCAUCCGAUCUUCUAGUAAGCAUAGUAAGUGUAUGGUUCACGACUUCAUCAUCCAGAAUAACCAUCAGAUUUUCCGGUGUGCACUGAAAGCAAAUGAUCCGCGGUUUUGGUAGGUGAAACGUUGUUAGGUGAAUGCGGAUGUUGGCUGUUGUUGCACGUGCGAACUGUUGUGUGGAAGCUGCUGGGUCCUCCUCUAUUGUGCGUGGCUUGUGGCGGGCUUGGACUACUCUCAUGGCUUCGGCGCUUGGAACUGCUCGUCUGUCCGGUCCUGCGUGCAUCUCUCUCUCCUGGCUGGAGGUGUGGUGGCCUGGCGGCUUCUCUGUGUUUUUCUUUUUAUGAUGACUUCUCGUGUUGGCUAGGGUUGGCGUUAGGGGCUCGGUCAGUUAUGCUCCCUCAGCUUUUAUAGGCAGCGCACCAUAGCAGGCAGAGCAGAGAUAAAGAUUCCAAUUGCAUCCAUCUACAAACAAGGCUCUCGGCGGAAGGGAUAAAAGCAUGCAUCGCAAUUACUGCUGCUCUGCUGCAACCUUGGCUCUCGUCAAUUGGAUGACCAAAAGAUGCCAACGUCUAAGAUCUUUUCUUUGUGCAGCUGCCUGUUUGUCACCAACACAAAAUUGUAGGUGCCUGUUUGUCACCAAUUAUCCUCUACCACAAAGAACUACAAUAGUGAUGGAGGAUCCGAUCCAGCACAGAUCCACUAUAAUGCAUAGUGGGUGAUGCAUGCCUAAUGGUGGUUGUUUAGUGUUAGUUUGGGCAUGUUGGAACUAAGCAAUUGUCGAUGCCAUACACUAGAAGUGAAGAAUGUUGUUAGCGUUAGGAGUAGAGGUGUCAAUGGGGACCGAUACCCGUUAAGCCAUGGAGAAUUUCUCUAUUAGAUUUAGGGUAUGGGAAGAUUUUAAUUUCCAUUUGCUGAAGUUAGGUAUACAUCUAUUUGAAUCAACAGUUACAGUUCAACAGAAACUCCUUCCGCUAUAGUUUGUUGCAUGUCCUACCUUUUUCCUAAACUAUUUUCCCUAAAUUGACAUACUCUCUAGAAAAUCUAUCCAAAUUUUGAAGAUCAAAUCUGUUCCAUUGAACUAUUCAUGACAUAUAUCUUGGUAUUGCUUUUUGUCAUCAGAAUAUAUUUUGAACUCAGUAAAAGUUAUACACGAUUUUUUUAGACAAUACUAAAGCAAGUUGUAAUCAAGAACACUUGAGGUGUGCGCCAAUUGCCACAUUUAGAUAUAAUCAUUAUAAUUUUGGUCAUCCUAUAUGUGUGCAUUCAUCUAUGCAUUCUAGGAUUUCAAUUAGUCUCAAUCUUGUAGUAUUUGUUCCUUCAUUGUCAAAUCACUUCUCAUCUAACUACUAUGCUUUUUUAACCAUCAGAACGUAACUCCAACAGUAUCCAUUUAUAAAGGUUUUGAUAGCAAACUUUACAUAUUCAUAUCAUGUUAAGGUUGUCACAUGUGUAAAGGUGAAGAGAUCAUGCAUGUCAUUCCACGUAGAUGAAAAGAAUUCCUAUAUAAAAUGACACCUUUUCUUGUAGGUAGUGGAAAGUAUCUUUCCAGCAAAGACCAUAUAAUCCAAUAAAGUUGAUAACUAAAUGUCGAAAUAGAGUAGAUGCCAUAUCAUUUAUACCUUAUCUGUUGUUUGGAAAAAAAGACUAAAUCCAAAAUAUAUAUGACAUCUCACUUGUAUAAAUAGCUCCCAAAUCAGCAGUUAACCAUCACCCAUAAUAUUUUGAACAUUUAGAAACACACACCUAGCGAAGCGCACUAGCAACGACCUAACAACAAUGGCUACCAAGAUAUUAGCCCUUCUUGCGCUUCUUGCCCUUUUUGUGAGCGCAACAAAUGCGUUCAUUAUUUCACAAUGCUCACUUGCUCCUAGUGCCAUUAUUCCACAAUUCCUCCCACCAGUUACUUCAAUGGGCUUCGAACACCCAGCUGUGCAUGCCUACAGGCUACAACAAGCGCUUGCGGCGAGCGUCUUACAACAACCAAUUGCCCAAUUACAGCAACAAUCCUUGGCACAUCUAACAAUACAAACCAUCGCAACGCAACAGCAACAACAGUUCCUACCAGCACUGAGCCACCUAGCCAUGGUGAACCCUGCCGCCUACUUGCAACAGCAACUGCUUGCAUCCAACCCACUUGCUCUGGCAAACGUAGUUGCACACCAGCAACAACAACAGCUGCAACAGUUUCUGCCAGCGCUCAGUCAACUAGCCAUGGUGAACCCUGCCGCCUACCUACAACAGCAACAACUGCUUUCAUCUACCCCGCUCGUUCUGGCCAAUGCACCUACAUACCUGCAACAACAAUUGUUGCAAUAGAAUCUACCAGCUCUGACUCAGCUAGCUAUGGCAAACCCUGCUGCCUACUUGCAACAGCUGCUUCCAUUCAACCAACUGAUUGUGUCGAACUCUGUUGCGUACCUACAACAACGACAAUAGUUACUUAAUCCACUAGCAGUGGCUACCCCAUUGGUCGCUGCCUUCCUACAGCAGCAACAAUUGCUGCCAUACAACCAGUUCUCUUUGAUGAACCCUGUCUUGUCGAGGCAGCAACCCAUCGUUGGAGGUGCCAUCUUUUAGAUUACAUAUGAGAUGUACUUGAUAAUGGCGCCCUCAUACCGGCAUGUGUUUCCUAGAAAUAAUCAAUAUAUUCAUUGAGAUUUAUCUCGAUAUAUUUCUGAACUAUGUUCAUUAUAUAAAUAAUUGAAAACAUCAAAUCAUAAUUAUAAACUCAUGCUUGGUCAAUACAUAGACAAUGCGAUAUUACUUCAACAUCCCAAUGAUGUCCUAGCCCAACCUCUUGAAUGUUACUGUUUUAAUGCGUGAGGGUAUAUUUAUAAGAUACACGUCACUAUUUGCGCUUUUUUUAGUACAUACAUAUUUUGUAUGUUGAUAUGAUAUAGUUAUGGACACAUGCUUUGACCAUGAAUAUUCAAAUCAGUUGUACUUGCACGAAGCAAAACAUAAUAUAAUUUAGGAGUACACUUAUAACUGUGUCCAAACAUGCUCACACAAAUUCAUACCACAUUAUAUUUUUUGGUAAAUAUUCCACACAUGUAUUUUUUACAAGAACCCAAAUUUUGCAGACAAAUGCAGCAUUAUAGACAUGUAGAAUUAUUUGAAGCCCGUGAACGUAACAACACCAAGGUCAUUAAAUCAACUGGACCCUAUGAGUAACAAUUUCGAUAUUGCAAACACCAAAUUAUAGAACUUAUUGGCUGAAAAAUUAUGAGCAAUGUGAAGUUUUAAUUAUUAUGCCAUAAAUAUAUCAAAUUAUUUUUUUGAGGAACGUAAAAAUUGCAUGGAAUGGGCUGCAUAACGUGCUAGCUCACUUCUAUGCUAGGUAGCAUUACCAAAGAUUGGAAUGUUGCUGAUGAACACCAAACCCACUCAAAUAAUAUUUAUAUUUGGGUUGUUUAGUUGUAAAAGUGAAGACCCAAGAUAAAAGUACCAAUUGUCCAAUGACAUUCGAUUAUUUUGUUCGGGGAGCACUUGGUGCGUCAUUUGGACUCGUAUCUUAGUCCAAUAGAUUGCAUUUUCCUUCAAUGUGUAGAAUCCGACAAAGUGCAUGUUCUAAAAUUGUAAAUCUAACUAAAUUAGAAAGCUUGUUACUAAUUUGAUGGUUAAUUAGGUGUAGCUCAUAAAACUAGAACCAACAUAGUUUGCACUCACAUGUUAUAGAAAAUAGGAGUAUCCAAGCACAAUUUGUGUGAGCAUCCAUGACACAAAUUAUAUAUAGACUGAUAUAAUUAAUUCCUUCAAAAAUAAAAAAAGGAAAAAAUAAAGUGUUUUUUGAUAAUGCAGGAUAUCUCCUUUAGCUAAUGAGGAGUACUAAAAAGAUGUUGCACUUUUGGGUGGCCAGAAUUCCUCAAUCAUAACUUUGACAUAAUUUUAAUCUGGAUCAUAUAUAUAGCAUCAUAUCUUAAUUAUUAAAUUAAUAUGGUUCCAUCAUCGUAUUAUUAAUUCAAUCCGAUAUAACCAUCAGAUCUUAAUUAUUAAAUUAAUCUGGAGCGUACAUUAGAUUAUCAAACCAAAUCAACCCGACAUAACCAUCGAAUGUUCCGCUAUGCACCUUAAGCGCAUGGUAUGGGGCUUAAUCAUCCGGAAUAACCAUCCAAUCUUCUGGUAAGCAUAGUAAGCGUAUGGUUCACGGCUUCGUCAUCCGGAAUAACCAUCAGAUUUUCUGGUGUGUACUGAAAGCAAAUGAUCCAGGGUUUUGGUACGUGAAACAUUGUUAGGUGAAUGCAGAUGCUGGCUACUGUUGCACAUGCGAACUGCUGUGUGGAAGCUGUUGGGUCCUCCUCUAUUAUGCGUGGCUUGUGGCGGGCUUGGACUGCUCUCAUGGCCUCACCAGCUGCAACGACCAGAGCGGUACCCCUUACUAAAGUAUGAAGACACGGAGCCUGUACGACGUUCUCUAGCCACACGGUGAACAACACCCAACCCCACCACAUGGGCGGCUUAGGGGGCACCACGUGGCGAGAAAAGAUGAUACAUCGCAGGAUGUAUCAGUUGGACCGGACCACCGCAAGAAAGCAUCGGACCCCUGUACGCAAAACCCGGAUCCCCGAUUAUGGUCCGGGACUCCCAAGCAAGCAUGUCGGGUCCCUUGGAUGGGGUCCAGAUCCCUCCGAGUAAGGUCCGGGCCACAACGAGGUCCCAUAACAGGGGAGACCCUGGCAUAAGCAAGGGUCCGAUACUGACACGUGUCCAGGCCUUAUCCUGUGCGCUUGCGCUCCCCGCUCAGGCGGAGACCCGAUGCUGCCACGUGGCUUGUUGCCCAUGACAUAAGCCAGCGGGCGGAGCCUGACGUAAGGCCUCUAGGCCGCGCGGUCUCUGCAUUUAUUGAGGAGAGGACGCGCCGCCUGUCCACCCUGCUGACAGGCAAAGUGCCCCCUCAGCAUUUAAUGCGUCCUGUCCACUCCGCAGGCAGGAGGCGCCAGGGCCAUCUUGCAGACGGUGCACCUGUCCAGUCCAUUGUCAAACAGUGCGCCCGUGCUGCGCGGCGCACUAUGCUCAUCAUCCCUUAUACGAGAAGCUUCCCCUGCACGCCGAUGCUACGCAGAUCUCGGAUGUCAGGGUGCAAGAAGAUUGCUCCAGCAACAAACAUUAGUAGCUCCAAGUACUACAUCCGUUAUGUUCCUGUGCCCACAUGUAGGGGCUCAGUGCUCUUGUACAUGCCCCCCUUAGCUAUAAAAGGGGAGGCAUGCAACGUUACGGAGGGGCUCUCUUGGACAAAAAACUGAGACUCUCAGCUCUCAAGCCUCCACAGCAAUCCAACACACACUGGAGUAGGGUAUUACACUCCGGCGGCCCGAACCACUCUAAAUCCUCACGUGUUCGUGUGCUCGGUGAUCGCUUAGCAAGACAGGUAAAACGCUUAAGCCCCUUCCUCAUCUUAGGAUUUAGGGCGGGUGCAUUCCACCACCCAGCCAGAGAAUUCCCUCUCCGACAUUUGGCACGCCAGGUAGGGGCCUAGGCAUUAGGUUUUUGCUUGUUUCUGUCACACCCUGGUUUCGGGUCACCAAGACCCGGGCGCGAACAUAAUCACCAGGUGUGCUGGGACCAAGUCUCACACAUAUGAUGAAUCAUGGCACAGGAUCGAAUGUCACAUCUUUACUACAUAACAGGAGUUUUAUACAAAAUAAAUAAUUACAUUAUAAGGAGACAACGGUCCAGCAACCCAAAGUUGACUGGCAGGCGACGGCCUAGACCUCUCACGAACUCGUCACAGCAUCCUCCAAGCGCCUCAUCCUGCGGUACCUGUUCUUGACCUGUGGGGGGGUGUGAGACAGCAAGAGUGAGCUCACAUACGUUCAUCGCUCAACAAGUUGUGGGGAAUAAUGUGCAUGAACUCGCCAAAGGUGGGAGCUCAUGUGAAGUGUAAGGCUUACCAAAGAGGAUGGUUAGAGCUGAGCAUUGCUUUUAAAGUUGGUCAAAAUUUUAUUAGCAGUUACUAAGUAUAAGUAAAUACCAACCCAAUUAAGUAGUAGAACAACAGUAACAACAUCACCUGCGAUGCAAUGCAUAUGACAAAUUGAAUUUAGUUCCAUAAAUUAAUCAUGUGAGUGUCCGAGCUGCUCAUGACCGUGAGCACGGCUAGUAUACCAGUUUUACACUCUGCAGAGGUUGCGCAUCUUUACCCACAAGUCAUGUUACCCAUCUGCCAAGAGACGGCCAAUCCCAUACACCUCUACCGAGGAGGCGAGGCAGGGUAAUACUACGAGGCCUUUACAAAGUUCCACUAGCUUCAGAAAACCCGCUACAGUUUAUAGGAAGCUCCAGUGCAGGAGUCCCUCGACUGACCACCAUCGCAGCAAAAUCAACCAAGGACCUCCCUACACUGACCACUCCCCUACCGCCCUUGCCCCUUUCAGGUAAGGUAAUCAUCCACUAGCUUUCCUAGUUAAUCAGCCAAGGGCGUCCAUAAUCCCUUGUGGUAGCACUGUUUUCCCGGGUGGUUCUCCAUGUUCCCAUUAACAUAAUGAUCUUAUCAUGAACAGUAAAUAAUAAACAAAUAAUAAAAGUAUAAUCAUGAAUAGUGUAUCUCCAUACCCAAAACCACAAUAAGCAAUAGCAAGUACUACCCAAGAAUUCAGUGGUAAACAAGGUAUAAAGAUAGUCAAAAUCUAGGGUAACCUAUUGGGUCCCAUCAAAAUUAACCUAUGCAGAUCAUUAUGAUUAAUAAGAACAUGACUGGGUAAAAAGAAGUGAUCAAGGGCACAACUUGCCUGGGACUUGAGAUUCCAGGUACCAACUUGCUCUUCAGGUGACACGUGUCCUCACUGCUAAACGUAGCAAUACAGACAAACAUGUAUAUGAAAAAUUAACAUCACACCAAACAUAAAAAUAAACUGCGUAAUAAUGAUCUACGCGUCGCUACGAGAUCGCAGAAAUAAGAAACACUAAAUUCAGAGCUACGAUUAUUGAGUUAUGAGUUUCCAAAAUUAUUUUAGUGUUUAGAAUAGAUUAAUCCAAAUGAACAAUUUUAAUUCAUGUUUCAUGGCUAAACAGUGUUACUAGUUGAUAGAAAAUAUUGAAACAAAAUUAAUGCAACUGGAACGGGUUAAAAAGGAGUUAAAAUGGAUUUAAUAUGAAUCAAGCAAGUUUCUUGGAUUAUUUUUAUAACAAAGAUCAUUAAUAAAACUAUUUCAUAAACUUUCUGGGAUGGGGCCACUAUUUCUCAUAAGCACAGGGUUAAAUACGCAAAUAAAAGGACCCGGUUAGAAUUAUUUUUGAACCAGCAUGGAUGGCGGGUUAGUUUCUAGUAAGCGCAGGGGCUUAUUAGCAAAAGGGGCGGGCCGAAGGGGUAUCACCCAGUAUCAGCCGUAGGAUAUGAUAUAUGUGGCUCGGAUUAGAUUAGAGCUUCAUCAAAACAGUAUGCGCUAUAGACCGUCGAUCCCGAGACCGACGGUUAGGAUUUUCAUGACGCCACAUCUCACACCAACCGCUCGAUUAGAUCAGACGGUACAGAUAUUCCUGGCCACAGCCUUAUCCACCACCCAAUCGUAGCCGCACGCCAACAAUCCAACGGUUCCAGUGCUUCACAUACCACUGUCUUCACCGGCAGCGGCGCCAGAGCGCAUGCCACGGCGGCGGACAACACCGGAGAGCACCCAAACCUCGCUGAGGGCCCCAAACGAUAUUUCGAGCAGCGUACACAUUCCAGGGAAAGCUACGAAUCUAAAGGGAGAGUUCUCACCAGGAUUUGAGGUCGUGACGUGCCCGGUCGCUGAUGUCGAGCGGAUCCAAGGUGGAGCCCAAUUCCGGUGAGCAAUCACAGGUACACCGGCCAACUCCCCCAUCCGGACAAGUUACCAACUCGUGCGAGUAGCACCUGGUGAUCUGCCCCGGCCAGGGAUUCAACUCACGACGGUGUUUCACAGGUUCCGCGCGCGGCGGCACUUACCCAAGCCCCACGGCGACAACGCUCGAGCUUCAAUGGAGCAGGAGAGAGUUGCGGCGAGGUCCGCAUUUAUACGCAUGGGAAGGUGUCCGUCUCCCAACUACCACGCGAGAUCGCCGGAGGAUCCCAUUACCCGGUCGGCGAAGACCACGGAGGGGAUUUGUGCGGCGGACGCGGGGCUUCGUUGCGAUCCUAGGAGAUUGAUUCGACAAAUGGGACCCACCAGUCGGUGGCUUGGUGACAAGCGCGCGUGGCAAAAGAGACUGGUUCGCGGGCCCCGCAUUUCAGAGACUGAGCGUGGCGGGGAAAAUUGGCAGGAAGGCCGAGGGUGCGCGCUUUAGUGGGCCGAGGGAGGCCGGAGCUGGGCCGAGCCAGGGAGGAAAUCAGACCAUGUGCGUUUUCUACUUUUGUUUUAUUUUUCUUUUAUAAUUUUUGUUUUGUUUCCAAAUCAAAAAUUCAAACUAAAUUCGAAUUCUGGUCUUAAUUUUCAGGUUUCAAACAUCAAACCAAAUUCUAAUUCUUCUAUUACUUGCACUGAAAUUAUUUAUUUAUUAUUCUUAUUUAUUAUUCUCCCUAUUGUUUAAAUAUGGAAGAAAGGAAUGGCUUUAUUAAAAUUUCCUUUCUCCCCUUUGUUUUAUAAUUUUUUUGAGGUCAAUUUAAAUUAUGAUUCCUUGAUUCAAAUAAGAUGCAUCACAGAAAUAACAUCAGCAUGAGGUACACAUUUCUUUAUUUAUUUAUUUGUUCUUUACAUAAUUUAAUGCCAUUAGUUGAGUAUGUAGAGAAAAAAAUAAAAAUAAAAAUCAAGGGAUCCCCAAAACACCCACUUAUUUGUUUAUCUAUUCAUUUUAUUAUUAUUUUGGAAAUAUAUUCAUUUUGGGAGUAGUAACUUCCAAAUUAUGAAUAUCUUUAAGGAAAGGUGUUUUGAUUUAAAACCUUUGGGGAAUUUUUCCUUAUUUUCACAAAAUUGAUCUUUAGGGUGUUACAGUUUCCUCGCUCAGCAUGAUGGUGCAAAUCGUGGAGCACCGCGCCAAGACUUCAACGGAUUUCCUGGUGAAGAAAGAAGCUGUUUCUUCCACGCCACAGGUUCCCAACCGCCCAGUGUCGGGCACUGCUGCUGUGCACGCUGCACGGCAGCAUACGGCUGCACAGACAUCCCGGACUCCGUCGAGGGCGGCUCCGGGAGCAUUGUUAGCAGCCAGGGAAUUGCUGCGUCACCCUCCAAGCUCCACGGCCUCACCGGGGGCCAUGAAGCAGUGGCAGGAUGACGUCAACCGACAGCUCGACAUGGCACAUUCUACCUCGACCAGGUCGAGGCCACAGUCAUCCCAUCGCCAAUAUGAGGCGUCGACGUCUAUGCGCUCACCCUCAGUGAGGGGUGCACAGACCAACGACCUCUGGGUAGAGCUCAACCACAGGCGUGCGGGAGAGGACGCCCGGGUCUCUUUAGAGAGGGCGUGCGAGCGCCGACAAAACAUCGAGGGUCGCAACCUCGAUCAAGACUUCGCUGAGGUAGUACCACAGGCCCCAAUGGGCACCCGGUCCCAAGCGGGUGUCCCCUUGGCCGGCGUAGGUUGCGCCGCUCUCGUGGAUCAUCUCCGCGCGGCAUCAUGGCCAUCAAAGUUUCGGCCACACCUGCCGGAAAAGUACGAUGGUACGUCAAACCCGUCGGAAUUCCUGCAGGUGUACGUCACCGCUAUCACAGCAGCAGGUGGAAACACCGCAAUGAUGGCGACAUAUUUUCAUGUCGCCUUAUCUGGACCUGCUCGGACUUGGCUCAUGAACCUCUCCCCAGGGUCAAUCUACUCCUGGGAAGAACUCUACGCUCGGUUCGUUGCGAACUUCGCCAGCGCUUACCAGCAACACGGUGUGGAGGCCCACCUCCACGCAGUGAGGCAGGAGCCCAGGGAGACUCUCCGGAUGUUCAUCUCCCGCUUCACCAAGGUGCAAGGUACUAUACCUCGCAUUUCCGAUGCUUCCAUCAUCACGGCCUUCCGCCAGGGAGUACGUGAUGAGAAAAUGUUGGAGAAGUUGGCCACGCAUGACGUGGAGAUUGUCCCCACACUCCUCGCUCUGGCCGACAAAUGCGCCAGAGCCGCCGAGGGUCGUGCAUGGCACUUGGCCCCACAGACUGGGGCUACCCAAUCGGGUGGCUCGGGUGCCAUCCCCCGGGACGGUAAGAAGAAAGAGAAGAAGGACCGCGACCACCAGAAGCCGCGGUCCACUGCGCUGGUCGUUGCAGUUGGGACUGGGGGCCGAGGCGACCGCAACAAACGCCCACGACCACAGAGGGGUAACAGCGGCUCAUGCCCUGUGCACCCCAACGGUCGCCACAACACCGUGGAGUGUCGCGAGAUCAUCGACCUCGCAAAACGCGUCAGCGAGCGGCACGAGUAGUCUUCUAAAGACGGCUCCCCACCUCGUCGCCGACCUGGCAAGGAAAGGGUCGACGACGGCGAGGUGGCCACGGCUGAACGGGACCUCGGGUAUCAGUCACUCGAGGGGGACCUGAAGGAUGUCUUCGUCGGAGACUCCCACUCCGGUGGUGACAACUAGAUGGACCCCCAGAUGGACCCCGUGCUCCCCGGUCUACGGGGCCGAAGCCUGCCUUCCUCCGGAAACCCUUCUGGACUCCCCACGGGUCCAGGCUUCUGACAAGUCCAUACAGAAAUGGCUACAGCACGAGGACGAGGACUCCCUCAUCAAACGCAGAUGGGAACCCAGGGUCGAGACCUAGUCCUACGGCAAGUACCAAACCAAGAAGGGCUCCGAAACUCUCCCCCAGCUGGGAAGGACCCUUCAAGGUGACGGGAAUACGCUGACCCGGGGGUGACUAUCUUGUUAUGACUGAAGGAGUGCCUCUUCCUGGUCACUGGAGCAUCUCUGUAAGUUCUAUCCAUAGGAGCAAGUCUGAGGGUCGAGUUUUUCUCCCUUUUGUAACUAGGUAACGCAUACGUGUACGCCAACCCGGUGAGGUCCGCCCUCAUAAGCCCGGCCUGUUGGUCUGCACCCAUGCAUGACAAGUUAUAAAGAAAAGAUUUACCCCCUCAGAUGUGCCUCUAUGAUAGUUUUAUCCUACUGCUCCAUGGUCUUACCUUGUAGUUUUCCGGAUCUUGUUUUAUCUAACCCACCCAAAUAGUUCCCUUUCCAUCGAACAUAAUGACAUCCGAAUUGAACAGCCAGGCUUGCAGUUUAGGACCUCUCUGCGAAAGAAGGAGGGCCCGAUAGCCUGUGGGCUGGUUCUAAAGAAUGGGAGCCCAUUCCAUGGGGUGGUCCGGAGCCUGUGUGGCCGAUUAGCCUGGUCCCGUACCCGAAAGCCUGCACACUCCACCACUCCGUGACGGGUACCCUAGUAUUUGGAGCUAUAAGUCCUAUGGGUCCGGCAACCUGGGGUCCGAAACUAGAGAAUGGACACUUGUCUCCUAGGGUGGUUCGGAGCCCGUGUAGUCGCUCAGCCUGGUUCCGUACCAUGGGCCCGCAUGAUCCACCACUCUGCGAUGGGUGUCCUAGUACCUAGAACCACCAUCCAGGGGGUCCGGACGCACAACUUGGCCUCCCAGACUAGACCCUGCAAGUCCCGAGCAUGUAUCAAAGAAUGGCUAGUGUCAGAUGGCAGGUCCUGUGGGUGUACUACUAAUGCUCCCUAGUCGAAGCUGUGUGCAGGCCCAGGUCCCAGUCGAGGCUACCUCCUGGGGGCCAUUGCCAAAUCUUUCUUAGGUAUGCUGGUCUGCAACCUCGACAAAUCGAGCCUACAUCCUAGGGGGGCAGGUACCAAGGAGGAAUUGGUUACACCACACACAAUAGGGACAAGUGGUACACAGAUAAGUGCUAAUACUGCUUGAUAAAUAGUACUCGAAAGUACCUUAGGAAAAGCAAAAGUAUUACAUCCGCUUUCAAGCGGAGUCCUAGCUCCAUCUCUACUCUGCAGGAAUGGACUACUCUGCACCAGCAGGGUCGCGUUGGAAGCUAGCUCUGGGCAGCCUCACCAACGGCGGCGACCACCUCUACUCCAAGCGGCUCGCCAGCGGAGGCGGCCACCUCUGCACCAACGGCUCGCCAGCGGCGGUGGCCACCUUUGCACCGGUGGCUUGCCGGCGACGGUGGCCACCUCAGCGCGUGCGAAGAGGUCCUCGCCCCCGUCCUCCUACGGGGGUGAGGACAAGACCAUCCAAGAACGCGGCCACCACCUCCACAGCGUAUGACAUCUUGUACAACCCCCCAGGCAGCGUCGGAGCAGUGCGGCCAGCGGCGCAGGGGACACCACGGAUGCGGUGGACCUGCGCACGACGCGACCGUCGCCCGUGCGGUGGACGGAAAGCCAUGCCCCGCUUGGCGGUGGGAGGCAGCGUUGGAGGCGGCACCAAAACCAUCAAAGCCAAAGAGAUGGAGCCGCAGCACGGCUCGCUUCCCACCCCAAAGAGUUGGGGGUGCGUGGGAUGGAGCCGUGGCUCAACCCGCUGUCCACCUUCACGAGGCUGGUGAUCAUCCUUCCCUCCGAAUGCUAGAGGAAGAAGCGGGAAGGAGCGUCGCCUCCACGGACAUCCCGCGGAGGUAGGCGACGAUGGCUGCCUGAAGGAUGAAGCAGGACACCACAGGUAGAGGCUGGGGGCUAAGCCCCUCCAGCAGCUGCACGAAGAAAGAUGGGAUCGGCAGAGCCAACCCGCUGGGGAGUUUGGAAACAAAGAACACAAACUCUUUGACAGCAAGGUCGCCGAGAGGAGAGACACCAGCACAAGUCCUCCCGGCAAAUGCCAGCACACCCCAUCCGAGCGGGUUGCGCGCCAAGUUGAGUGCCACCUCGGGCUGGAAGCGCUCGCAAGGGUCUAGCAAGGCCAUGGUGACUACGGCAACGCGAAGCAGAGACCUUGAAGGAAAAGGGGCACGGAGAGCUCGGAGGCGAAGGGACGCCGUGAGAGGGAGAGAAGCAAGGCAUGGCUGCUAUUCGAGGGAUGAACCCCUCUUUAAAGGCAGGCUCCCCUGCUCCCGCCUCGAAGCGCCGUGAGAAGCCUCCCCCAAUGCACACCGAGGUAUCCAUCCCAUGACACGGGGGCCCAGUCCCACAAGUCAUAUAGCUGGCGCGCUGGCCUUCGAGUGCGAAGAAGGCGAACCGCCGCACAGGAAGCGUGCUACCGCCCCGCGGUAGUACGCCUCCUUCAUCUUCACUACGACCAACGGUCAGGAAGGCGAACCACAGCACAAGGAGCAUGCUACCGCCCCGCGGUAGUGCGCCCCCUCGUCUUUGCUGCAACCUGCGGUCCAACCUCUGGCAUGGGGGCCCAGGCCCACAUGUCACGCACCCGGCGUGCUGGUUUCUGGGUGCAGAGAAGUCGCACCGCCACUCGCACCAAUACCGCGUCUCCUCAGGGCCGUCGCAGAAGACUGAGAAGAUAAAUUUUCAAAACCAAUGCAGCAACUCGAGGCACCCCGUGCAUGGCCCAACAAAGACAUUAAGUGCGGAGGUCACGGGUCAGCCAGCCGCAGGGACAGGCAUGGCAGUCGGCGUGACCAUGGGCGGACCGGCAGUAAUUGCAUCAACGGGCGCGCAGGGGCAGCGAGCCAAUCACCAAUAAAACUUUGGCCCCACCUGCAGGCCCGUAUCCUCCCCUGAGGCGGGCCCAGGGGCCACUGUCGGUACCCUGAAUCAGGAGUACCCCUUACUGAAGUAUGAAGACACGGAGCCCGUACGAUGUUCUCUAGUCGCACGAUGAACAAUACCCGACCCCACCACGUGGGCGGCUCGGGGGCACCACGUGGUGAGAAAAGAUGAUACAUCCCAGGAUGUAUAAGUUGGACCGGACCACCGCAAGAAAGCACCGAACCCCUGUACGCACAACCCGGACCCUCGAUUACGUCCCGGGACUCCCAAGCAAGCAUGUCGGAUCCCUUGGAUGGGGUCCAGAUCCCUCUGAGUAAGGUUCGGGCCACAACGAGGUCCCAGAACAGGGGAGACCCUGGCAUAAGCAAGGGUCUGGUACUGACACGUGUCCAGGCCUUAUCCUGUGCGCUUGCGCUCCCUGCUCAAGCGGAGACCCGAUGCUGCCACGUGGCUUGUUGUCCGUGACAUAAGCCAGCGGGUGGAGCCUGACGUAAGGCCUCUAGGCCGCGCGGUCUCUGCAUUUAUUGCGGAGAGGACGCACCGCCUGUCCACCCUGCUGACAGGCGAUGUGCCCCCUCAGCAUUUAAUGCAUCCUGUCCACUCCGCUGGCAGGCGGCGCUAGGGUCAUCUUGCAGACAGCGCACCUGUCCAGUCCAUUGUCAAACAGUGCGCCCAUGCUGUGCGGCGCACUGUGCUCAUCAUCCCUUAUACGAUAAGCUUCUCCUGCAUGCCGAUGCUACACAGAUCUCGGAUGUCAGGGCGCAAGAAGAUUGCUCCAACAGCAAACAUUAGUAGCUCCAAGUACUACAUCCGUUAUGUUCCUGGGCCCACAUGUCGGGGCUCAGUACCCUUGUACAUGCCCCCUUAGCUAUAAAAGGGGAGGCAUGCAACUUUACGGAGGGGCUCUCUUAGACAAAAAACUGAGACUCUCACCUCUCAAGCCUCCACAGCAAUCCAACACACAGUGGAGUAGGGUAUUACGCUCCGACGGCCCGAACCACUCUAAAUCCUCGCGUGUUCGUGUGCUCGGUGUUCGUGUCCUACCUUUUUCAUAAACUAGUUUUCCCUAAAUUGACAUACUAUAUACAAAAUCUAUCCAAAUUUUGAAGAUCAAAUUUGUUCCAUUUAAUUAUUCAUGACUUAUAUCUUGGUAUUGCUUUUUUGUCAUCAGAAUAUAUUUUGAACACAGUAAAAGUUAUACACGAUUUUUUUAGACAAUACUAAAGUAAGUUGUAAUCAAGAACACUUGACGUGUGAACCAAUUGCCACUUUUAGAUAUAAUCAUUGUAAUUUUGGUCAUCCUAUGUGUGUGCAUUCAUCUAUGCAUUCUAGGAUUUCAAUUAGUCUCAAUCUUGUAGUAUUUGUUCCUUGAUUGUCAAAUCACUUCUCAUCUAACUACUAUGCUUGUUUAACCAUCAGAACAUAACUACAACAAAAUCCAUUUAUAAAGGUUUUGAUAGCAAACUUUACAUAUUCAUAUCAUGUUAAGGUUGUCACAUGUUUAAAGGUGAAGAGAUCAUGCAUGUCAUUCCACGUAGAUGAAAAGAAUUCCUAUAUAAAAUGACACAUUUUCUUGUAGGUAGUGGAAAGUAUCUUUCCAGCAAAGACUAUAAUCCGAUAAAGUUGAUAACUAAAUGUCGAAAAAGAGUAGAUGCCAUAUCAUCUAUACCUUAUCUGUUGUUUGGAAAAAAAGACUAACUACAAAAAAUAUAUAUGAGAUCUCACUUGUAUAAAUAGCUCCCAAAUCAGUAGUUAACCAUCACCCAUAAUAUUUUGAACAUUCAGAAACACACCUAGCGAAGCGCACUAGCAACGACAUAACAACAAUGGCUACUAAGAUAUUAUCCCUCCUUGCGCUUCUUGCCCUUUUUGUUAGCGCAACAAAUGCGUUCAUUAUUCCACAAUGCUCACUUGCUCCUAGUGCCAUUAUUCCACAGUUCCUCCCACCAGUUAGUUCAAUGGGCUUCGAACAUCCAGCUGUGCAAGCCUACAGGCUACAACAAGCGCUUGCGGCGAGCGUCUUACAACAACCAAUUGCCCAAUUACAACAACAAUCCUUGGCACAUCUAACAAUACAAACCAUCGCAAUGCAACAGCAACAGCAACAACAGUUCCUACUAGCACUGAGCCACCUAGCCAUGGUGAACCCUGGCGCCGACUUGUAACAACAACUGCUUGCAUCCAACCCACUUGCUCUGGCAAACGCAGUUGCAAACCAGCAACAACAACAGCUGCAACAGUUUCUGCCAGCGCUCAGUCAACUAGCCAUGGUGAACCCUGCCGCCGACCUACAACAGCAACAACUGCUUUCAUCUAGCUCGCUCGCUGUGGCCAAUGCACCUACAUACCUGCAACAACAAUUGUUGCAACAGAUUGUACCAGCUCUGACUCAGCUAGCUGUGGCAAACCCUGCUGCCUACUUGCAACAGCUGCUUCCAUUCAACCAACUGACUGUGUCGAACUCUGCUGCGUACCUACAACAGCGACAGCAGUUACUUAAUCCACUGGCAGUGGCUAACCCAUUGGUCGUUGCCGUCCUACAGCAGCAACAUUUGCUGCCAUACAACCAGUUCUCUUUGAUGAACCCUGUCUUGUCGAGGCAGCAACCCAUCGUUGGAGGUGCCAUCUUUUAGAUUACAUAUGAGAUGUACUCGAUAAUGGUGCCCUCAUACCGGCAUGUGUUUUCUAGAAAUAAUCAAUAUAUUGAUUGAGAUUUAUCUCGAUAUAUUUCUCAACUAUGUUCAUCAUAUAAAUAAUUGAAAACAUCAAAUCGUAAUUAUAAACUCAUCCUUGGUCAAUACAUAGACAAUACGAUAUUACUUCAACAUCCCAAUGAUGUCAUAGCCCAACCUCUUGAAUGUUACUGUUUUAAUGUGUGAGGGUAUAUUUAUAAGAUUGACGUGACUAUUUGUGCUUUUUUUGAGUACAUACAUAUAUGGUAUGUUGAUUUGAUAUAGUGAUGGACACAUGCUUUGACCAUGAAUAUUCAAAUCAGUUGUACUUGCACGAAGCAAAACAUAAUAUAAGUUUAGGAGUAGACUUAUAACUAUGUCCAAACAUGCUCACACAAAUUCAUACCACAUUAUAAUUUUUUGGUAAAUAUUCCACACAUGUAUGUUUUAUAAGAACCCAAAUUUUGCAGACAAAUGCUGAAUUGUAGACAUGUAGAAUUCUUUGAAGCUCGUGAACUUAACAACACCAAGGUCAUUAAAUCAACUCGACCCUAUGAGUAACAAUUUCGAUAUUGCAAACACCAAAUUAUAGAACUUAUUGGCUGAAAAAUUAUGAGCAAUGUGAAGUUUAAAUUAUUAUACCAUAAAUAUAUCAAAGAAUUUUUUUGAGGAACGUAAAAAUUGCAUGGAAUGGGCUGCCCAACGUGCUAGCUCACUUCUAUGCUAGGUAGCAUUACCAAAGAUGGGAAUGUUGCUGAUGAACGCAAAACCCACUCAAAUCAUAUAUAUAUUUGGGAUGUUUAGUUGUAAAAGUGAAGACCUAAGAUAAAAGUACCAAUUGUCCAAUGACAUUCAAUUAUUUUGUUCGGGGAGCACUUUGUGUGUCAUUUGGACUCGUAUCUUAGUCCAAUAGAUUGCAUUUUCCUUCAAUGUGUAGAAUCCGACAAAGUGCUUGUUCCAAAAUUGUAAAUCUAACUAAAUUAUAAAGCUUGUUACUAAUUUGAUGGUUUAUUAGGUGUAGCUCAUAAAACUAGAACCAACAUAGCCUGCACUCACAUGUCAUAGAAAAUAGGAGUAUCCAAGCACAAUUUGUGUGAGCAUACAUGACACAAAUUAUAUAUAGACUGAUAUAAUUAAUUCCUUGAAAAAAGAAAAAGGAAACAAUAAAAUGUUUUUUGAUAUUGCAGGAUAUCUCCUUUAGCUAAUGAGGAGUACUAAAAAGAUGUUGCACUUUUGGGUGGCGAGAAUUCGUCAAUCAUAACUUUGACAUAAUUUUAAUCCGGA